rnacentral:lncRNA from 1 species
GGAAUUGUUGUUGUGUGAAUAAGAUGAUGAGUCAUAGUCCAUAAUCACUUUGAAGAAGAAUGAUAAUUCUUGUUCAUGGUAUGUGAAUAUAUAUAUGACUUUGAGUCCUUCACUUUUUCUGGUUUUUCAUCCGAUUGAAAUUGAAUUGGAUGCGUUUUUUGGAUUUUGGGAGGACGGUUUUUAUGCUUUUAAAAAAAAAUUAAAAAAAUAAUUAGUGGAAGGAUUUAUUUAUGUGUCACCAAAUAAAUUAAUCAAAAAGAAAGUAAAAGCCAACUGAGCGUUCAUUUAAGCAAAUUAAUAUAGUCAGUGUCCAAGUUGUCAAUCCAGGGGGUAAAUGAUAGAAUCUUCAUUUUAUAAGGGGGUAAUCACAAUUUUUUUUUUUUGCAGGGGGUAAAAUAAAACUGACAUAUUUUGCAGGGGUAAAAAACUAUUUACCCUUUAUUUUUUGGUACCAAUAUAGAUCAAAGUUUAAUUUAUCAAUUUAUUGACAAAUUUGAUUAAGGGGAUCAAAUUAGAGGAAUUGUAAUUUUUUUUUGUACAUGGAAAUAGUAAUAUUAUAUUACACGACAAAUAAUAUUUUACAUGAUACAUUAUAAAAUUAUUUGUUUUUACACACGUUACAAAAUUUAUUGUUCAAUUGAAAUUUUACCAAUUUGGUCAAAUAUGAUUGGGUUUCAAAUCUCGAUCUCAUAUAUAUAUAUAUAUAUAGGGGAGAGAUCAAAUUACACCGGUGUAANNNNNNNNNNNNNNNNNNNNNNNNNNNNNNNNNNNNNNNNNNNNNNNNNNNNNNNNNNNNNNNNNNNNNNNNNNNNNNNNNNNNNNNNNNNNNNNNNNNNNNNNNNNNNNNNNNNNNNNNAUAUAUAUAGGGGAGAGAUCAAAUUACACCGGUGUAACAUUUGAGUAAUGUUACACCGCUCAAUAACGCUUCAACGAAUACAAAUUUUACAAAAUCUACAGUUAGAUUGAAAGUUUAUAUCAUAUAAAUCAUCCAUGUUCAAUUUUACAAAAAUCUAAAAUCGUUUGAUAUGUUAUUGAGACCGAUCAAGAUUAACGAUUUAUGUGUUUUUAUUUAAUACCGUUAAGCUUGACCAAUCUCAAUAACAUAUCAAACGAUUUUAGAUUUUUAUAAAAUUUAACAUGAAUGAUCUAUAUGAUAUAAACUUUCAAUUCAACGGUGAAUUUUGUAAAAAUUGUAUUCGUUGAAGCGUUAUUGAACGGUGUAACAUUACUCAAAUGUUACACUGGGGUAAUUUGAUCCCUCCUUUUUACUUUGUUUGAGCCUUGUAUGAUCGUUUCUAUUUCUUUCUGUGACUUUGUGUGUAAACUCUGGUAGUCUUCUUUAGCACACCUUGUGCUGAGGAGGUUUUUUGUUAAUAUAUUUCAUUUUGGCUUGUUCAAAAAAAUAUAAGAAGAAGUUAUUUUUUAGAUAUAUUAAUAUUUUAAUGUAUUUAAAAAGUGAAAUUCUUCUUAUAUUAAGAAUCGGAAGGAGUAUUAUUAUUAGGAAAAUGCUAAAUAGUGCCCCCGGGCACUGGUUAAGCAUGUUAAAAUANNNNNNNNNNNUUUAUUUCCUUUUUAAAUAUGCUUAACUAGUGCCUCGGGGGCACUCUUUAGCAUGACCCUUAGUCAUUAUAUACCAGUAGUGUAGUAGUAAUAGUAUGGUAUUGAGUUGACCAUAAUUUAGAGUUGAAUGAAAGUCAUGGUCAAUUCAUGCAUCUUUUUUUUUUUUUUUGACGGCAUGCAUCUUGGUUAGUAGCUCGUUACUUCCACUAUAUCUCACCAAACUACCUAAGCUUUGUUUUAUUCCAACUCCUGCAGCUCGCACUUGCAUAUCUGGAUGUGGGGAGGUAGAGUCGGCUUAUCAUUUAUUCAUAUCUUGCAGCACUUUUAGUUUUCUUUGGGAUUUAGUUCAUUGGUACUUCAGUGACAGGAUCCACUUCUAUCCGAGAUCACUUUGUUCAGUUUACCCACUCAGCUGGUGGAGCUCGAGCACGACGGUCGUUUAUGCAGCUUAUUUGGCUUGCUAGCGCUUGGGUUGUGUGGACGGAAAGAAAUCACAGGUUGUUUAGAGGCUCAUCUAGUACUAUUCAUCAGUUGUUGGACAAGAUCAAACUUUUUUCUUAUCGGUGGUUGAAGACGACGAGUGUUUUUUUAGUCUCAAACUAUCAUAGUUGGUGGUCUCGUCCUUUUUACUUUGUUUGGGCCUUGUAUGAUCGUUUGUAUUUCUUUCUGUGACUUUGUGUAAACUCUGGUAGUCUUCUUUGGCACGUGCUGAUGAGACUUUUUGUUAAUAUAUAUCAUUUUAGUUUGUUCAAAAAUAUAUAAGAAGUUCAUUUUUUAAAUAUAUUAAUAUUUUAAUGUAUUUAAAAAGUGAAAUUUCUCUUAUAUUAAGAACCGAAGGUAGUAUUAUUAUUAAUUAGUAGAUAUACUAGUAGUCUACUAGUAAUAGUAUGGUACUGAGUUGACCAUAAUUUAGAGUUGAAUGAAAGUCAUGGUCAAUUCAUGCAUCUUGAUUUUUUUUUUUUUUGACGGCAUGCAUCUUGGUUGGUUACUAGCUCGUUACUUCCACUAUAUCUCACCAAACUACCUAAGCUUUGUUUUAUUCCAACCCAUGCAUCUACCAACCAAUAUUGAACAAGAUCAAUACCACAAAUUCUAAAAUGCCAUCGAACCGUUAAUUAUAGUAAUUAAUAAUCAAACGGCCAUCAUUAAUUUUCAACAAACCCACUAUUUUUAUUUUCUCAACUUGUGCAUUGUCCCUCCCCCACCUACCAAACUCACACACCACACCGACCCACACACAUGCAAUAGAAAAUAUUAUUAAAAUAUUAAAUUUUAAAACCUACCAAAAUAAACUUCUAUAUAAAGCCAACCACUCUUCAUUCACAAUUCAGGAAAUUCAUAACCCAAUUCCUUUGUUUCAUACAAUCAUUUGAAUUUCCAUUCUCUCCCAAAAUUCUAUAUAUAGCUACCACCACACAUAACAAAUUCAUUAGAAAUAUUUAUUUAUUUAUUACUAUUAAGAUGGAAGCAGUAGCAUCAGCCAUAACAAAAAACAACAUUAAUGAUUAUGAUUCAUUUUGCUUAACUCAUGCUAAUGCUAAUAACAUGAAAGUGAAUGGUGCUGAUCCUUUGAAUUGGGGUGUGGCUGCUGAGGCAAUGAAAGGGAGUCACUUGGAUGAGGUCAAGCGUAUGGUGGAGGAGUACCGGAAACCGGUUGUCCGUCUUGGUGGCGAGACACUGACAAUUUCUCAGGUGGCUGCCAUUGCCGCACACGAUGGUGCCACGGUGGAGUUGUCGGAAUCUGCUAGAGCUGGCGUUAAGGCCAGUAGUGAUUGGGUGAUGGAGAGCAUGAACAAAGGUACCGAUAGUUAUGGUGUCACCACAGGGUUCGGCGCUACCUCGCACCGCCGAACCAAACAAGGUGGUGCUUUGCAGAAAGAACUUAUAAGGUAAUAUACAUUUUCUUAAUUAGCAUAUCUCUAGCUUUUUAUAUAUUAAAUAGUUUUCUUCAUGGAAUUAAUGUUUAAAUUAUUAAUAAUCACUUUUUUUUUGGUUGCAUAAAUUAAGUUAUCUUGCAUUUCAAUUCAUAUAUAAAAUCAACAAAUUAAUUAUAUAUUUUAAAACAUUUAUCCUUAUUUUUAGGAUUGAUAAUCUACUCUCAUAUGUUUCUUUAGGAGUACAUGUUAUUUGUAAAAUAACUUAAUUUGUUAAUUAAUUAAUAAAUAUUAAAAGUGUAACUUUUCAACGUCUUUACUUUAAAAUAGAAACAAGUGGUAGGGUAUUCUAACCACAAACUUACAUAUACUAACGUUUUAAUUUUAGGAGACAGGUUAUGAAUUUUUUUAAUAAAUACUAUUUAAAGGUUCAACUUGUCAAGUAACAUUAUUUUCACAGUAGAUAGGUUACUUUUUUUUUGACAAAAGAUUACAUCUUUUAAACGUUUAUAAUUAGCAUUUUUGAAAGAAAGAAAAUAAAAAAUUCAUAAUACAUUGAUUUUUUGUCAAGUAGUCUGGUGACUAUAAUUUUGACCAUACCCCUCCAUAUAUAAUACAAUGUUCUGCCAACUGAGCUAAGCAGUUCACGAGACUAAAUUCCUAAUACUUAUUCCACUUAAUUCUUAUUUUUCAGGUUUUUGAAUGCUGGAAUAUUUGGAAAUGGAACUGAGUCAAGCCACACACUACCACACACAGCCACAAGAGCCGCCAUGCUAGUAAGAAUCAACACACUUCUGCAAGGCUAUUCAGGAAUCAGAUUUGAAAUCUUAGAAGCUAUCACCAAGCUCCUUAACAACAAUGUCACCCCAUGUUUACCACUUCGCGGUACAAUCACAGCUUCAGGAGAUUUAGUCCCACUUUCUUACAUUGCUGGUUUACUAACUGGAAGACCAAAUUCUAAAGCUCAUGGACCUACAGGAGAAGUUCUUAAUGCAAAACAAGCUUUUCAAUUGGCGGGAAUCAAUACCGAGUUCUUUGAAUUACAACCGAAAGAAGGGCUUGCACUUGUUAAUGGAACUGCUGUUGGUUCUGGUUUAGCUUCUAUUGUUCUGUUCGAGGCUAACAUAUUGGCGGUGUUGUCUGAAGUACUAUCAGCAAUUUUCGCUGAAGUUAUGCAAGGGAAGCCCGAAUUUACCGAUCAUUUGACACAUAAGUUGAAGCACCACCCUGGUCAAAUUGAGGCUGCUGCUAUUAUGGAGCACAUUUUGGAUGGCAGUGCUUAUGUCAAAGAUGCUAAGAAGUUGCAUGAGAUGGACNNNNNNNNNNNNNNNNNNNNNNNNNNNNNNNNNNNNNNNNNNNNNNNNNNNNNNNNNNNNAGAUGCUAAGAAGCUGCAUGAGAUGGACCCUUUGCAGAAGCCAAAGCAAGAUAGAUACGCACUAAGAACUUCGCCACAAUGGCUUGGUCCAUUGAUUGAAGUGAUUAGAUUCUCUACCAAGUCAAUUGAGAGAGAGAUCAACUCUGUCAAUGACAACCCUUUGAUUGAUGUUUCAAGAAACAUGGCUUUGCAUGGUGGAAAUUUUCAAGGAACACCUAUCGGAGUAUCCAUGGAUAAUACACGUUUGGCUCUUGCAUCAAUUGGGAAACUUUUGUUUGCUCAAUUCUCCGAGCUUGUCAACGAUUUUUACAACAAUGGAUUGCCUUCAAAUCUCUCUGCUAGUAGAAAUCCUAGCUUGGAUUAUGGAUUCAAGGGAUCCGAAAUUGCCAUGGCUUCCUAUUGUUCUGAGUUACAAUAUCUUGCAAAUCCAGUUACAACCCAUGUCCAAAGUGCCGAGCAACACAACCAAGAUGUGAACUCAUUGGGUUUGAUUUCAUCCAGAAAAACAUAUGAAGCCAUUGAGAUCCUUCAGUUGAUGUCUUCCACAUUCUUGAUUGCACUUUGCCAAGCAAUUGAUUUAAGACAUUUGGAGGAGAAUUUGAAAAACUCGGUCAAGAAUACCGUAAGCCAAGUUGCCAAAAAGACCUUAACUAUAGGUGUCAAUGGAGAACUUCAUCCUUCAAGAUUCUGUGAAAAAGACUUGUUGAAAGUGGUUGAUAGGGAGCAUGUGUUUUCCUAUAUUGACGAUCCUUGUAGUGCGACAUACCCCUUGUCGCAAAAACUCAGGCAAGUGCUAGUAGAACAUGCUUUAGUCAAUGGAGAAAGUGAGAAGAAUUUGAACACAUCAAUCUUCCAAAAGAUUGCAACUUUUGAGGAAGAGUUGAAGACCCUCUUGCCAAAAGAAGUUGAAAGUGCAAGGACUGCAUAUGAGAGUGGAAAUUCUACAAUUCCAAACAAGAUCAAUGGAUGCAGAUCAUAUCCACUUUACAAUUUUGUGAGAAAGGAGUUGGGAACUGGUUUGCUAACUGGAGAAAAUGUCAUUUCACCAGGUGAGGAGUGUGAUAAGCUAUUCACAGCUAUGUGUCAAGGGAAAAUCAUUGAUCCUCUUCUUGAAUGCUUGGGAGAGUGGAAUGGUGCUCCUCUUCCAAUAUGUUAACUUUGGUGGUUACUUCAUAAAAUGUUUUAUUUGUAUCUAUGCAAAUGUAGUAAUAAUGAUCAGGUUUUUUAUUCUUUAACAAAUUAAUGUGAAAAAAUUGAUUUCAAUUUUCACAUAUAUCAAAAUGAAGCUUGUAAUUUAUUUUUUGGGUUUUUUUUUUUAUAAGCAAAAGAUUAAAUUAUAAGGAUUACUUAUAAGGGAUACUCAACCGUUACAAUUCAAAGAUAAUCACUUUAGAUGCGUUGGAAGCAAACUAAAGGAUUGGUACACCAAUCAGAAAAACUAAAUUAGCAUUGCACCCUAUGCGGCCUAUAAACCAUAGCCAAAAUAUGUAAAUAAUUUGGUUCACUAAAUAAGAUACAUUGAUACAUUCACCUCUAAAAACAAUGUUAUUAUGGGUGCGCCAUAUAUUCCACGUAGUUGCCAACCAAAUGAUAAGACAGAAUCGCUUGCUAUUAUUGCAUUUUGCUGAUUCUCCAAACCGGGAGAAAUGAUAUGGUACUGUACUGUCACAAAGUCAAUGUACUUGGUGUUUAGCCAUUGAAAGAUUGUCUGCAUUUGAAGAAAAUGUGAUAUAAGUCCUCUUCCUCCUUAAAGCAAAAUACCCAACUCCUCUCAUGUGUAUUGGUGAUUAUGCCUCUGUAAUAUAGUGCCUCCCUCGUCAGUAAUUGUUCUAGUAACAACUGCCAACCAAAAAUACUAACUUUCGACCGAACAUUAUUAAACCAUAGCAGCUUCAGAGCUGCCUCUGUUUGUGUACCGAUCGCAGCCACCGCAAGCCGGCUCUACUGCGCCAGACAGAGAAAAAACCAGCUGAGUUUGGUAUCCAUUUGUGCGUAUCUCUACUGUUGCAAUUUGGCUAACAUGUUAUAACAGUGCUUGUAAUUCGCGUGUUGUUUGUUUCUGUAUCCAUAUCAUUAAGCGUUUCUGUCCAAUCAAGCUUCCAUGACCAAAUAAAAUUAUCCCAAAUUCCCGUAUCCGAUAUAUAACCGUCUUGCUGAGUUGAUUUGUUGAAAAGUGAUGGAAACAAGAUUCGUAAAAACUAAAAAUUCCGUUCAUAUCCAUUUCUCUUUCCAAAAACUAAGUUUUUACCUUCACCAAGAACACUACUAAUAUUAUUAUCAAACCAGCCACCUUCCUCCGCAUUACCCAAUCUCCAAAUAUCGCGCCACUAAAUUAAAGCACGUUUGAGACCCUCUCUCCUUUUCCCAUACAGAAAAUUAGCUGCAAAGGUUCCGCAACGAAAAAACAAAAGAUCGUGUCAAGGGACUGAGCUAUCAUUCAUGCAUCUCCACUUCCAUUUACACAAAAGUGANAUGUCAGAAAAAAAAAAAAAAAAGCUCCAAAUUGUUUACAGAUAUAAACCUCCUUUUUCAUUUGAUUGACAAAUAUGAUUCCAACUAACUCAACACGCUUCUUUCUAUCUACUCCGCCUUUCCAUAAAAAAUUUCUUUGAAUGUGUGUUUUAAUAAUACUUAUAAUUAAUUAGAAUCUAAUAAAAAGAACUGUAAGAAAUGUUUUAUGUUGAAAAUACAAUAGUCAAAAAUUUUAAUUCAAAGUACUGACUGAAUACACAAAUUUUAAUAGAUAUUUUAAUAUUAAUUUUUAAUAUGUGUACGUUUACGGAACACUUGUUAUUAUCUGUCUUAUUUUUAAGAUGACACUAUUAAAACGAGAAUCCAUUCCUCCAGUUAGAGGUGGAAAUAUGUCAACCCGGCCUACAGGGGCCUAUCUUCUAGCCUACAUAGGCUCAAACCAACCUUUCUUUAAAUAGAGCAAGUUAAGACUUUUUUAUAAGUUUAUUUAGCUAAAAAGGCCAGGCCACAGGCCAUUAAAAAAGCAUUUGAGGUCUAUUAAGCCGGUCUAUUUAAGUUAAUAUGAAUAAUAUUUUUAGUAGAUUAUUAUUUAUAUAUUAAAAUUUGUAUUUUGAUUAAAUUAUAAAUCUAUUAACUUUUUAAGUAGUUUAAGUUUAUUAAUCUGCAAAUGCAAUAGUUUUAACAUAUAUAAAUGUAUUAUUAUAAACUAGAAUUGAAAUAUGAUGACAUACAUAGUCAAAUUCUCUAAAAUAUCAUGUUAGAUAUCAAAAGGAAUAUUGGUUUAUUAGUUCAUAAGUAUAUUUAAAAAUAAAUAUAAUUAUUUAUUUAAAUAAGUUCAUAUGAAAUAGACUUUUAAAUAGGCUAACAGGUCACAUCAGGCUUUCAGAAGGUCAGACUCAUGCCUAAAAAUUAACCUUAUGAUAGGCCACAGGCCUUCGAUUUUUUGACAAGUCAGGCUCAGUUUGGCAAAACCUAACUCGACCUAGCCUAUUUCCACCUCUCCGCUCCAUAAAAAUACCUUUUGAAUAUCCUUCCUUAUUCAACAUUUUCAUUUGUAGCUUUGUAAAAUCAAAAGUACAUAUUCGGAUACAAGGGAAAACAAUAUUAAUAAGUGUUAUCGAUCGUUAGUUGGUUUAGUGGUGAUUGAUGUUGGACUUGGCAGGGAAGACUACAGUUCGAUUUCCCGUAACUGUAGUCGGAAGGCGAGUGGAACUAUAUGAGGUCAAAACUGAUUCUCGAACCAGAUAAAACAGUCUAGUGAGCCAUAUACUUGAAAACUAAAAAUAAAAGUAAUCACCGUUACCCUUCCACCCAAUUAAAAAAAAAAAAAAAGUCAUGNNNNNNNNNNNNNNNNNNNNNNNGGAGUAUUAUUUAGCAUUUUCUACAUAUAAACGUUUUUUCGUCAACACCAUGAUAGAAAUCCAUGUCUAUAAAGGAUUUAAUUUAUCAUGAUUUGUAGAGGACUUGACAUUAUAUUCGAUCCACCACCUAUUGAGAAAGAUCUUCCUCAGUCACGAAAUCCUCUAAAAUUGGUUUUGUCCCCCUUUAUUUAUCUGAGAAUUUUAGAAAUCCCACUAUUACCUAGUCCUAUAUUAUAAGGACCAAUUCAAAGUAAAAUGAUAAUAACUUGAUCAAACUUGUUAGUAGUACUAUUUGUGCAAAUCAGUUAGUUAUAAUUAAUUGGCAAUUUCAACAUUUUUAAAAUGUACAUCUUUAUCUAAAUUUAUAUUUGAAAUGUUGCAGUUGUAUGUAUAAAUUUUGAUCUAAUGUUUACCGGCUACAUACAAAACACACUUACGAUCAAAUUAAGCCUCAACUAUUAAAUGACCCCUCAAGUUUCUAACAUUUGAAUUAAUUAGUAUAUAUAUGUUCAAUCAUCGUUAUUGUACAUGAUUGUACAACAAACUUACAAUAAAAAGGUCGUCAAAUAUGCAAUUAAACUUAUAUUUUAUGAGACAAUGUCAUUAUUUUAUAUUAUAAGCAUAUUCAUGAGACACUCUUUUAAGUAAAAGAUGAUGGGUACUACUAGUGUAUAUAAAAAUGAUAUUAUAUGUAGAAGUUUGACCGACGUUUUAGAGAGUUGAAUGUGUCAUGAGAGAGUCAUGGUCAAUUCUCUCGCUGGUUGGUUGCUACCUUUCCACUAUCUAUAGUGUGUUUCUAGCCAACAACCUCAUUUUUGUAUUUUUUCUUAAUAUUGUAUUGUUGUCGAAAAAUGUGUUUCGAUAACAUUUUUCUUUUUGUUUGAGAUGUUCCAAUUCUAUCCACAGCCAUCUACCAACCAAGCAUCAAAUAAUACCAAGAUCCUAUACUGCCACGUUGCAAUAUCAUAACCAAAUGAAUAGUGAGUGAUAAUCCAAUGCUCAUAAUUAAUUUUCAACUAACACACUUUAAUUUUCUACUCCUUGUGCAACUUGUCUCUCCCUACCUACCAAACCACACAUGCAUAAGAUAGAAUUAAUAAUAUACUACCUCAGAUUUAAAAUGUUUAAUUCAUCGUAGAAAUUGUGUAUUUAGAUAAUAUUGUAGUUUAGAUACAUCAUUUCUAUAAUAAAUUUAGAAAGUAAAAAUUUCCUUAUGUAUAGGACUUAUUUAUAAGUAAAAUUCUAUUUUUUAGAUUCAUUUAAUAAUUGAUGUACAUGGUCUAUAAUACAGGUCAAAUACAUUAAUUAUUCGAUGAAUCUAAAAAAUUGAUUUUUACUUAUAAUUAAGAAUUUUGGUGGAGUAGAUAAUGUAGCCCCCAAAAUAAACCUUUAAAUUUUAUUUUGAUGCCAAACAUACAAACCUCUAUAUAAAGCUCAACUACUCUUCCUUCACAUCUGAAGAAAUUUACAACUCUUUCAUUCUUUCAUAUUUUGUUUUAAGUUUCCAUUCUCUUUCAAAAUUUCUCUUUAGCUACCAAAUCAUAACAAAGUAACACUUAAGAUGGAAGCAGUAGCAGCAGCCAUAACAAAAAACAACAAUGGUUAUGAUUCAUUUUGUUUGAGUCAUGCUAAUGCUAAUAACAUGAAAGUGAAUGGUGCUGAUCCUUUGAAUUGGGGUGUGGCUGCUGAGNNNNNNNNNNNNNNNNNNNNNNNNNNNNNNNNNNNNNNNNNNNNNNNNNNNNNNNNNNNNNNNNNNNNNNNNNNNNNNNNNNNNNNNNNNNNNNNNNNNNNNNNNNNNNNNNNNNNNNNNNNNNNNNNNNNNNNNNNNNNNNUUUGAAUUGGGGUGUGGCUGCUGAGGCAAUGAAAGGGAGUCACUUGGAUGAGGUGAAGCGUAUGGUGGAGGAGUACCGGAAACCGGUGGUCCGUCUAGGUGGUGAGACACUGACAAUUUCUCAGGUGGCUGCCAUUGCUGCACAUGAUGGUGCAACGGUGGAGCUGUCGGAAUCUGCUAGAGCUGGCGUUAAGGCGAGCAGUGACUGGGUUAUGGAGAGUAUGAACAAAGGUACUGAUAGUUACGGUGUCACCACAGGGUUCGGCGCUACCUCGCACCGCCGAACCAAACAAGGUGGUGCUUUGCAGAAAGAGCUCAUAAGGUAAUUACCUUGUUUUCCAUUUUUUAUUUGCAUAAAAGAAAAUACUAUGAUUUUCCAAUUUAUUAUUUUUUAAUUUAUAGUAAAAGAAAAUAAUGGAAAGAAAAAGAAUAAACUUAUUGAUAGAAAUUUAGCAAGUGUACUAAAUAGUCGUCAAGUAAUAAAAUUUAUAAAGUUCGUAUCCGCAGGGAUUGUUUCAAUCUCGACAAAACAAUUAAAUUAAUUUAGGAUUAAUAAUNNNNNNNNNNNNNNNNNNNNNNNNAUUGAAUGAAAGAAAAAUGAUUGAUCCUUUUGGUUCAUCUAAUUACUAUUUCUCUUGGUAAUUUCAUGUAUGAUUACAAGUUACUCAAUUUAGUUUCAUGAUUAGAUUAAAUCUCAAUUAAUUAUGUCCAAUGUCUUGGUAACACAAUCCUCUCCCUUGAUCAUCGAUUCCUAAUGUCUUAGGUAAUCUAUGAUCAAUUGAGGUUUACAACCUUUAAUCUUUUAAUCUCAAUUAACAAUCCAAAAUGUCUUAAGUGAAAGUUAAUUGAUCAAUCAUUCCUAGAUCGAUCAUUCAUUCCUAUCAUCAUAGUAAAACAAAUAAUUGGAAUCAUCACACAAUUGAUCAAGUCAUGCAAAGCAUUAAACGCAAGGAAUAAUUAAAGAAACUAACUUCGUAAUUCAUUGAUCAUAACAUAUGAUAAUCACAUAAUUCAACAGAAAUAAUAAUCAGAAUCCCCAAGUACCGAUCAAGAGUUUAGCUAGACAUAAUAAAAUAGAAAUCAAUAAACAAAGGAAGAAAUUAAAACCAAUGAAUUUCUACUUGUGUCACUCCAAGUAGGUAGUCGAUCCUUCAAUUUCUUUCUUCCUAUGCUUCAAUCAUUUUCGUCCUGUAGCGCAGCAGCUCUCCUCGUACCGUUCCAAGCUUCUCGUGAUCCUCUCUUGUUGCUGUACGUCAUGUUGUUAAAGAAAAACCUCAUUUCCUUUCUUUGGUUUCGGGUCAACCCAAGCAGCAAGGCCCACCUUUUCCUCUUUUUAGACAAGCCCAUCAUAUUAAAAUAGUAUACUCCCUCUUGGCUCAUCAUAUAAGACACUAGACAAUGUAUUAAACACUUCACAAAAUAAAAUAUUAAUAAAAAGAAGUACUUAAUUGACUCAAUAAAUCAAAAAUCACAAUUUAUUUAAAAUGACUCUAAAUUAAACACUAAACUAAUAAAAUGAUAUUAAAACUUAUUAAAAAGACUCUAAAAAUAGCGACUGAUGAAGACUCAUCACUUAUGCAUGGUGCAUAAACAAAACAAAUCUUCAUCAUCAAAUUGAAUCUAACAAAUAUCUAAACGCACCAUUUCCCACCCCAAAUCAACAACAGCAACCCCUGAACGUCAUCAUGUCAAAACUAUUUUUGCUGUGGAAUGGUUUCACAUUAGAUGUACUUAAUCAUGCCAAAAUCAUUUUUACGGGUUGUAAUCCAAAAUCAUUUUGCUGUGUAAUGAUUUUGUGUGUUAUUUAUGCAUGUGCAUAAGGAAUUCGCUUAUGCACCAUAACCGCUCCCAAGAAAAAAAUCAUAAUAUGUGUCGGUUUCUUGGAAUAAAUGGAAAGUAACAUAUAACUACACAUAUGUUGGUAUCCUGCAAUAAAUAAAAGAUUUGAAUAAACACCUCAUUUUUAUAAACUAGUUUUUUUUACCGGAUUAUUAGUAUAUAGUCCCUAUAAGCAAGUGGGAUAAUCAUUAAUGUUUGUUAACUCCAUCUACUGCAUACCGGCAUAGUUGAUUAAUGUCCAUUAGGAUAGCUUUUAUAGAAAAAACUACAUAAUCCAUACCUACAAAAAUCUAAUUGUACAACUAAUGAUUCAUUUUUUGAAUUACAAUCAAUAUAUUUAUUACAUCAAUCGUGAAUCUCUAAGAUGGAUUUAGUUUAUGGCUAAGAAACAACAUUAAACCAAAGGUCCUAAUAUCAAUUCUUAUUCCUUCUUGUUUUUUCAGGUUUUUGAAUGCAGGAAUAUUUGGAAAUGGAACUGAGUCAAACCACAUCCUACCACACACAGCAACACGAGCAGCCAUGUUAGUAAGAAUCAACACACUUCUACAAGGUUAUUCAGGCAUUAGAUUUGAAAUCUUAGAAGCCAUAACCAAGCUCCUUAACAACAAUAUUACUCCAUGUUUACCACUUCGCGGUACAAUCACAGCUUCGGGAGAUUUAGUGCCUCUUUCUUACAUUGCUGGUUUACUAACUGGUAGACCAAAUUCAAAAGCUCAUGGACCCUCUGGAGAAAUACUUAAUGCUAAAGAAGCUUUUCAAUUGGCUGGAAUCAAUGCUGAUUUCUUUGAGUUACAACCGAAAGAAGGUCUUGCACUUGUUAAUGGAACUGCUGUUGGUUCUGGGUUAGCUUCUAUUGUUCUGUUUGAGGCUAACAUAUUGGCGGUGUUGUCUGAAGUUCUAUCUGCAAUUUUCGCUGAAGUUAUGCAAGGGAAGCCUGAAUUUACCGAUCAUUUGACACAUAAGUUGAAGCACCACCCAGGUCAAAUUGAGGCUGCUGCUAUUAUGGAACACAUUUUGGAUGGAAGUGCUUAUGUCAAAGCAGCUAAAAAGUUGCACGAGAUCGAUCCUUUGCAGAAGCCAAAACAAGAUAGAUAUGCACUUAGAACUUCACCACAAUGGCUUGGUCCUCUAAUUGAAGUCAUUAGAUUUUCUACCAAGUCAAUUGAGAGGGAGAUUAACUCAGUUAAUGACAACCCUUUGAUUGAUGUUUCAAGAAACAAGGCUUUGCACGGUGGAAAUUUUCAAGGAACGCCUAUCGGAGUAUCCAUGGAUAAUACACGUUUAGCUCUUGCAUCAAUCGGUAAACUUAUGUUUGCUCAAUUCUCUGAGCUUGUCAACGAUUUUUACAACAACGGGUUGCCUUCAAAUCUCUCUGCUAGUAGAAAUCCUAGCUUGGAUUAUGGGUUCAAGGGAUCCGAAAUUGCCAUGGCUUCCUAUUGUUCUGAGUUACAAUAUCUUGCAAAUCCCGUUACAACUCAUGUCCAAAGUGCCGAGCAACACAACCAAGAUGUGAACUCUUUAGGUUUAAUUUCUUCUCGAAAAACAAAAGAAGCCAUUGAGAUCCUUCAACUCAUGUCUUCCACAUUCUUGAUUGCACUUUGCCAAGCAAUUGAUUUAAGACAUUUGGAGGAGAACUUGAAAAACUCAGUCAAGAAUACCGUAAGCCAAGUGGCCAAAAAGACCUUAACUGUAGGUGUCAAUGGAGAACUUCAUCCUUCAAGAUUCUGUGAAAAAGACUUGUUGAAAGUGGUUGAUAGGGAGCAUGUGUUUUCCUAUAUUGACGAUCCUUGUAGUGCGACAUACCCCUUGUCGCAAAAACUCAGACAAGUGCUAGUAGAACAUGCUUUAGUCAAUGGAGAAAGUGAGAAGAAUUCGAACACAUCAAUCUUCCAAAAGAUUGCAACUUUUGAGGAAGAGUUGAAGACCCUCUUGCCAAAAGAGGUUGAAAGUGCAAGGACUGCAUAUGAGAGUGGAAAUUCAACAAUUGCAAACAAGAUUAAUGGAUGCAGAUCUUAUCCACUUUACAACUUUGUGAGAAAGGAGUUGGGAACUUCUUUGCUAACUGGAGAAAGAGUCAUUUCACCAGGUGAGGAGUGUGACAAGCUAUUCACAGCUAUGUGUCAAGGGAAAAUCAUUGAUCCUCUUCUUGAAUGUUUGGGAGAGUGGAAUGGUGCUCCUCUUCCAAUUUGUUAACUUCAUUAGUUAAUUUUAAAAAUGUUUUAUUUGUAUCUAUGCAAGUGUAGCAAUAAUCAUUUGAUUUUUCAUGUCUUUUGACAAAAUUAAUACAUGAAAAAUAAGCUUCAUUUCAAUUUUCUCGAAUGUCAAAGUGAAACUUGUAAUUUACUUUUAUGAUAGAUUUCGAAAUUAAUACAUGAAAAUUAAGCCUCAUUUCAAUUUUCUCGGACGUCAAAGUGCAACUACCACUAAUAUCACAUACUAACUUUAAUGUCAAUUUUAGUUCUAGAGCAAGUAGAUAGUGUUAGAACAAACUCUGUGAUGCAUACAGAGAUAGUCGCAGCAGGAGCUUCAGGUUUUGGCUAAGCGAGAAAAUUUGUGGCUUAGCGAAACCUGAGAAUUGAAGAGAAUAUUAGAGAUAAUGGUUUUGGUAAAUAUGAAUUCAGUUGAGGAUUGAAAAAGGUUAUUUAUAGGAUUUAUAUAGUUGCUUAACAAAUUCCAUCAUUAAAUAGCUUUGUGACGGAAAUUUAGUGUAUUAGUGACGGAAGAUUACCCUCACUAAUUAUAAUUUUUCCAGUGGUGCUUGCAAUACAAGUUAUCAACACAUAGGUAAUUAGUUGUUCAAAAAAACACAUAGGUAACUAAUUAACCAACAAAUAUUGUAACUAAUUUUACUAACUAACUACAACUAAAUGCUAGCUAUAAGUUGGGCCUUCAGCCCUCUUUUGUACAAAAAAAAAAGCUAUAAAUUACAAACUCAAUAUUGCUGAAGAAACAUGGGGGGGUGUUAAAUAGAAAAAUUCCACAAUCACACGUACCAUCACACCAAUUUUCAAUUCAAAUUGAAAUCAUGUCAAGAGUUAAGAACAAAGAACAACUCAACUCACUCCGCUCUCACAUGUAAUCACUUCCUCUCCGUCACCACCAUCACCGUCGACCACCACCACCCCCUCUCCGUCACCACAAUCACCGUCGACCACCACCACCGGCCCUAUUUUGAGAUUCACUCUUAAUUAACGUUUUGUUUUUGUUUUUGUUUUUUUAGGGUUUCUGAACAUGAUGGGACCAAAAGAGUUUCAUUACUCUAUUUUUUUUUGUUUACAAUGUGCUGGGAAUCGAACCCAAGAGCUAUAACAUACUAGCUAAAUCUUUUACCACUAGACCAAACCUAGUGGCUUAUUUUAUAUUUGUUUUGAUUGAUAAUUUACAGUAUUAUUUUAUUUUUACUUUUUCAUAUACAGUCGUUAUAUGUUGAGGAGAUUUAUGAAACAAAUGAAAAAGAAACUAGUUUACCUGGAGAGACGCAUUAAAUCACAGGAAUCAACCAUUGUUGAUCUUCUUGUUGCAAACUGGAAGAGGGAUGCUCUGCUUAUCUCUAUAUUAUAGAAAGUACUUGUGUGUUCCUAAUUUUAUGUAUAAAAUAAUAUAAUAUUGCAACAUUUUAUACAAUUAUUUAAUUAAAUAUAAUAAUUUUUUUUUGGUAGAUAGACGAAAUGACGUCCGACCUAGGAAUUUCGAUAUUUCUGUAAGUUGAACUAAAAUUUUUGGACAUUUAUAUAUAAUAAGUAAUUAAUUUGGUAAAUAAUACUCCCUACGCCAUCAUUCAAUUAUAGUAAUUUUACGGUCUUUAGACAUUUUUUGUAACAUUGGUUUUGAUAUGGUAAUUUAUGUAGGUAACAACCUACGUCGAUCAGAAAAAUUUGAUUUUGGUUCUACAGUAUGUUAUAUACUUUGCUAGACGAGUUGCUCGUCAUCUUCCUUUGAUCGCAUCUCAAAGGUACGUAAAUAUGUUUGACUAGUUUGUUAUGUUAAAAUUAUAUUGAUUAUGAAGUUAGAUUGAUAUAGGAAAUACUUAACUCAGUUGCCACAAUGAUAAUUGAUCUUUACUGUUUCCUUGAUUAAGUAAACUUAUUUUUCUCUUGCAGUUUUUUGUCAAUUACUCCCCAUCGUAACCCCGUUGACAACUUUUAUCCCUGCUUUUUUAUUUGUAUGGUUAUGCCCUUACCGGUAAACUGCUUUUGCAGGACAUGGAGAUUGUGCCGUAUAUNNNNNNNNNCGUAUAUUCGCUUUGUUGGUUAUCAAAGGGUAAUCAGCGCCUUUAUUCAAUCACAAGUGUGCCUUAUAUAGGCAAUGGUACAAUAGCUUGCAGUACAAGGCUAAACACAAUGCAGGCCAAGCCAAGACAAGGCAGGCAAGCCACAGCACGCGCCCAAUGCUUGGCAACAUACAUAGACACAAUGCAUUGAGGCAACAUGUUAAGAAGUCUCACAUCGGCUGUGAGAUGGCCUAGACAAGAGUUUAUAAGUAAGAGGCAAUCCUCACCUUAUAAGCCGGUUUUAUAAGGAUGAGUUAGGUCCAAUACUCAAUUUUAAGAUGGUAUCAGAGCCUCUCCAAGAUCUGUUGGGUCACCCGAUAUCGGGCCACCUACCAUUUAUAUCAACGCACCAAGCACAAUAGUGCUGGGCGUGUUAAGAAGUCCCACAUCGGCUUUGAGAUGGCCCGGACAAGAGUUUAUAAGUAAGAGGCGUUAUAUUAACGCACCAAGCCCAAUAGUGCUGGACAUGAGGGGGUGUGUUAAGAAAUUCCACAUCGACUUUGAGAUGGUCUGGACAAGAGUUUAUAAGUAAGAGGCAAUCCUCGGCUGUGAGAUGGCCCAAACAAUAGUUUAUAAGUAAGAGACGUUAGACCCAAUACUCAUUUCUAAGAUAAGAUACACAAAACAGACACCUAACACGCUUAUGACUGUUUCUUCUACUUGCCAAACUCUUUUAUGGUUAUAGCUCCGAUGAAACAUUCGUUUUCAACAAUGUUUUUAUUUAACAAAACCUUAGCGAUCAUUAGCUUAAAUGUGAUGUGACACUACUUAUGGUAUGCAUUAUUUAGUAUAUGUAGAUUUGCAUGUCUUUUAAUUUGUAGUUUUUGCAAAUUUUAGUAAACCAACAUAUUACUACUUAUUUACUUUUAUUUUUAAUCAACCUACUCUGUGUCCAAAAAAAAAACUUACCGGAUAUGCUGCUUACAUAUUUAUUUCUUGUUUUAUCCUGUUGCAUUAUAGUUAUCAUGCUAAGGUCAUAUUGAGUUUUGUAGACCUUUUACGUAAAUCGCGACCAAGUAAAGUUGAGGGUUUUCUUAGCAUUUUGGCAAGAAAAAUCAAGUGGACAAUUGUAGGACAAUUAUUUACAUUCGGGGGAAAGAGGUAUGUUAUUCAAACACAAAUUUUGAGACACAAAAUUAACACAACUCUCUUUCCACUCACAAGCACGCAAAACGAUGUAUGCAAAAAAUAUUAAAAAAAACAAAAAAAAUAUAUUUGUGUAUUUUGUCAAAUAAAUGUGUUUACAUAACAUUUUCCUGGGAAAAUUAUUGUAAUAAUCUAUCUGUAUGUAAUAUGAUUAAAUAAUUAUUUGGUAUAAUGAGUAAUUACUAUGAUAUUUUAUUUUCUUAGUAACUAGCUAUGGCGCCGCAUAGGCAGGAGCAAAUUGGGAUGUGUUGGCAGAAACUUGAAACGGGUAGGUACAAAUGUAACAUCGAUGCUUCAUUUUCGGCUCACCGGAACCGUGUUGGUUUUGGUAUGUGUAUCCGUGACGAUGAAGGCCGUUUCGUGCUUGCCAAAACAAUGUGGAGUUCACCUAUGUGCAGUGUAGAUUUAGGAGAAGCGUUGGGACUUUACCAUGCUCUCGAUUGGGUUAAAGAGUUACAACUAGAACGAGUGGACUUUGUGCUUGACUCGAAAAGAGUUGUUGAUUAUUUUCAUAAGGGUGGGAAUGAUGUCACAGAGUUUAGUGAUGUUAUAAAAGAAUGUCAUCGUGUGUUUGAUGUAAAUUUUGAAAACUCUCGUGUUGAGUUUAAUAUGAGACAAGCGAAUGAGGUUGUUCAUGCACUUGCAAAGGUAGCCACAUCGAAAGCUAGCUCCAAUGUGAUCAUUGAUAUACCUACAUGUAUUCAAUAAUUAAUUAUGAAUGAAAUGCUAUAAGCACCUUUUAGUAAAAAAAAAACUAUGGCAUAUAUUUAAUCAUUAAGGCAUAUGUAUAUGUGUUUUGCAAAAUUUAAAUUGGGCGAAUCAAUUGAGUUUGAAGUAACGAAAUUAAAUGGGCCGGUGUUGAAAAAUUGAAACUUAUAUAUUUGAUGAAUAGUUGCUCUUCAUUGUUCUAAGAGUUUUUCUCCUCUCACCAUCUGGGACACGCAAGUCCCCUAUUUUUCAUUUUAUCCUUCUCGCUACUUAAAAAGCCAGUGUGUAAAUUGUGGAAAAUUGCUAAUACACUGUUCACAUCCUGAAUGGCGAGCAAAUAUGUUCGCCAACUAGUAGUAAGCGAACUUAAGCAAUUGAUUUAAGCAGGGGUGGAGCCAGGAAUUAAAAUGUAGGGGCGAGUCCAACAAAUAUAAUUUUGUAAAGAAAAAUAAACUUUAAGUAUUCAAUUUAUACAAAUAAGUUAAAAAUGUAUAAGUAAAAAAAAUGAGUGGAUUGUUUUUUCUUAAUAUCUUUUAACUUAUAUCUUUCAAUUAAAUUUAGAGGAAAAAGAAUAUCUUAGACUUUCCAAUUUAAUAUUGUGAGGAUUAUUUCGCAACUGAUGUGAGACUUCUUAACAUAGACUUUAAUAUCAUCUUAGAAUUGGGUAUUGGGGCUAACUCAUCCUUGCAAAACUAGCUUGUAAAAUGAGGAUUCUCUCUUACUUAUAAACACAUAUUCAGGUCAUCUCGCAACCGAUGUAGGACUUUUUAUAUUAACAAAUAUAAUUUUUCAUUAUUUUAAUGUGUAUAUCCUACUUUUAUUUUAUAAUGUGAUUAAAGAAGACAUUUUUGUAUGAGCGAAAAUAACAAGUCUUUUUAUUGGAUAAGUUAUAAAUUGGAGUAGUCCACAUACUUAGUUAUUAUGGAUAUCAUCAUAGUAUAUUAGUAGAGCUGUCAAAAUGGGCUAGCCCGAAUGGGCUGGCCCGCCAAACCCAAUUUUUUCCCGGGCUCGGGUAUUGAAAAUCCUAGCUCGAAUUAUUUCCGGGCUUUUUAACCCGGCCCGACAAAGCCCGAUUAAAAUAUGGGCUAGCCCGAAUGGGCUGCGGGCGGCCCACAAGCCCGAAAAAAUUAAAAUUAAAAAAAUGAAAUAUAAAUAUAAAUAUAAAUAAUUUGUUUUAGAUGAUUUGAAAUUAGUUUGUAAUAUAAAUUAUAAAACACCGUUCGUUACUUAAGUAGCAGACGAGUAAAAAUAGGGCACCCAAGAAACUCGUAGGUAGCGGAUGAGUAAAAAUAGGACGCGCGAGAAACUCGUAUGUAGUGGAUGAAAAAAAAUAGGGCGCGCAAGAAACUCGUACGUAGCGGAUGAGUAAAAAUAGGGCGCGUGAGAAAGUCGUAGGGAGCGGAUGAGUAAAAAUAUGACGCACGAGAAACUCGUAAGUAGCGGAUGUGUAAAAAUAGGGCGCGAGAAACUCGUAAGUAGUGGAUGAAUAAAUAUAGGGCGCGCGAGAAACUCGUACGUAGUGGAUGAGUAAAAAUAAGGGGCGCGAGAAACUCGUACGUAGCGGAAGAGUAAAAAUAGGGCGCGCGAGAAAGUCGUAGGUAGCGGAUGAGUAAAAAUAUGACGCGCGAGAAACUCGUAGAUAGGGGAUGAGUAAAAAUGAGUAAAAAUACGGCGCGCGAGAAUUAUUAUAUAUAUAUAUAGCGGAUGAGUAAAAAGCGGAUGAGUAAAAAAUAGGACGCGCGAGAAUUAUUAAUGCUAUUUAUAUGGUUGAGUUUGAGCACUAAAAGUAAAAAAAUAAAAAAUAAACCGGGCCGGCCCGAAAGCCCGACUACCCGUACCGGGCCGGGCUCGGGCACUAAUUUUGGUAGCCCAUUUUUUAUCCGGGCUUUUUAGUCCGGCCCGACAAAGCCCAGAGCCCGACCGGGCCGGCCCGAAAUUGUCCGGGCCGCCCGUUUUGACAGCUCUAGGUUUGAGUACCUUGUACUCAAAUUAAUAAAAUAAUUUUCUUAUAAAAAAAUUCAUUAAAUUUUGGUAGUUAAAAUUGAUUAAUUAAAUUAAUUUAUGUAGACUCUAAAUUAUUUAGUGGGAUCUACUUUUAUGAUAAUGAAACUUAUUUGUAUUUGAAUUAUAAUAAUAGUAUUUGUGUUGAAAAAACUAGGUAGGCUUGAAAAAUAUAUCAUCUUCCUACCACUCACUUACUUCAUAUUGAAAUUUCAUAUGUUGUGUGUUCUCCAUGCCCCACUUUGGCCUAUGUAAAAUCAACUUGAUCGAUGAAAGUUUGUCCAUUUAUAAAAACAAACUUUAAAUUUGCAGUAGAAAAAUACCAAGUUGAAUAAAAGGUAGUGUCCCUCUUUAUUUUCUCUCAUCAUAUCCAAUAUUAAUUAUCUAGCCUAUUAUAGCAAGGUGCAUGUUAAUUAAUUUUUACACAUAAAAAAGGUAAUGGAAAAUUUGUCUUGGCAUACAAAUGGCAAAAAAGCAAUGGAAAAAGAGCUAUUAAGAGGACGUGACAUGGCAAAUCAAUUACUUGAAGUAUUAACUUUUGAUGAUAAGACAAAUAUUAGAGAAAUGAUGAAAGGGUCAAAUUUGAAGUCAUCAUCAUCAAAAGUGUUACCCUUAAUUGUUGCUGAAGAUCUUGUUCGUGAGGUACUCAAAUCAUUCACAAAUACACUAUUGCUCUUGAACAACAACCAAGACUCCAAUGAUGGUAGAGAUUUUUCUUUCUCAAUGAAUUGCCACAAGCUAGAGGAGGAUUUGGAUGGAGCUUACAAGAAAUUCAAAACUCUCAACACCAAAAAUCCAAAAGGGUCCAACAAGAGAAAGUAAGAUUCAUGCAUUAUCCAUGUCUUAUACUAAGUUCCUAUAAGUAUUUUUUACUAUAUCAAAAUCUAAAAAGUUUUUUUUCCCAUUAGUAAAUUUUUUUAUUACACAUACAUCUUUAAACUUGAACUUAGUAAAUAAAUUUUAUUAAUACAUCUUUAAACUUGAACAAAAUUCAUCUUAUCUUGAUUAGAGUCGACCUAGUCCGGUGGUGCUCCUCUUCAGUUCCGAUGAGUGGAGGGAGGUUUUGUACUUGCAGGUGUUUCGACGUUGUCAGUAAAAGUGUGAAGCAAAUGUUUUAAGAGAGUAUAAAUUUUUUUUUUCUGCCUUUUGCAUGAGAAGGUUUUAUAUAGCCCAAGACCUAAAGCCAGAUUCGACAUCCUCACCAUUAAUGACAGUCGGAAAACAACUAAAGAGCCAUGAUUGACAGUUAAUGUCAAUCAUUCUAAUAUCGGCCGUUACGAAAGGCAUGACUUCCUUAAUCAUUGAGCAGGCUGUUGCGCCUUUUGAGCUCAGCUCAAUUUGGAUCGAGUUUAACAUACAUGAGAUGAACCUCCUCGGUUAUUGGGCCUUAAUUAAGUCCCGUCCAAAAAGUUAUUUAGACUAAAAAUAUCAUUAUAUACUACUACUACUACUACUCAUACUUAUAAUUGUUUUCCACCAUCACUAAAAUAAUGAACUCUUGAUACAUAUAAUUCAAGAUAAAAAAAACAGCUCUUUCAUAAACAAACAGUUCUUCGAUAAAAAAAAUAUAAUAUUAAAACAGUUCAGCGAUGACUCUUAAUAAUUUUAGUAAAAAUGUGAAUUUUAUAAUCAGAAAAAAGAGAAAAAGAUGUAAUAAUUUAUUUUAUUAAAAUUUAUUAAUUUAUUUAGAACCCAGUAUCAAAUUUUUUAAAAAAAUUUGCAAUAAAUUUAUUUAAUUUACAAGAAAUAAAAAUUAAUAGGAGAUCUUUUUUUUUAUAGACGAAAUGACAAAACCAUUAAAAACUCACAUACACAAAGUGGAGUGGCCGAGGUUCGAACUUCAGUCUAACACUAAUAAUUUCAGCAUUUCUGCCAGUUAAGCUAUGAUUUGUGCACAAUAGGAGAUCUUCUUAUAACCUACUUUCUAUCUUUUUCUGAAACAUUGUUAUAACUUGAGUUUUGGAUAAUUCACGUUAGAUUGGGCACCCAAACCAUUGUUUUAUAAUAAUAAUAAUAAUAAUAAUAAACAUCGUUUAAUUGAAUCUCAAACCAUUUCCAUUUAUAUUUGAUACAUACUUAUAUUGUCCAAAUUCCCCUCCCCUAACAAAAAAAUAGAGUAUAUUUGUCAGUAUCUCUUCUUUAGGAAUAUAUAUAUAUAUAUAAAAUGUGUGAUGCCCUUCAAUAAUUUUAAUCUGCCGCACAGCUAGCCCUCCAGACAUAAAUUAUCAUCAUUCCAUACUUAAUGGAACAAUUAUAGAUCUAUUAAUAAUUUAUAAAUAUUUUUAUCAAAUUGAUUAGUUAAAAGUAUUAUAGUUAUGCAAAUAAUUGAAUAAAAACAAAUAAUUAACUAAUAUUUUUGUCUUCAUAAGGUCAAGUGCACCAACUUGGGAAAAGACAACAUCAAUAUUGAUUGAUGAUGGUCAUACAUGGAGAAAGUACGGCCAAAAAAGGAUAACAAAUGCUAAAUAUUUCAGGUAUAUUCAUCCUCAGUAACAUCCACAUGAGAAUAAAGAUUAGUCAACAUUAUACAGUACUAAUACACUACUCUUAUAAUCUUAAUAUUUAUUUAAGAAGUAUAAUUAAUAAACAACUUAAUCAUAAUAUGUAGAAAAAUGUAUAAGAUUAAGUAAAAAUAAAAGUGUGUCAAUCGUAUCCGUUUCAAAAUCCUAGACUAGCAAAUGAUUAGAUUAUUACAUAUUCAGCUCAAAACAAAAACAUUUUCUUACGUAUCUUCAACUACCACCAAAAUAAAAUUUUCACCACCUCAUCGGUUGUACUUAUAUAUUCAAAUAACUUGUUAUUUUUCUCUUUUCAAAGAGACCAAUUGCACGCUAAUCAUACCGAAUGAACACCAAAAUGAAUCUCUUUACCAAAUAAAUAAGCAUUACAAAAUUGCAACGCAUGAUCAGAAACCACAUUUGGUAAAUGACACACACCUAACCAAUUUAAAAUUAUCAAUCAUUAGUUGGUUCAGUUGUGAUUGACGUUGAACUUGGUAGGGAGGACCAUAGUUCGUUCCCCGCAACUGCAAUCAGGAGGGGGCUGAAACCAUUUGAUGUCAGAACUGACUCUUGAACCAGACUAAACUGAUGGUGAAAACCAAAAAAUUUAAAAUUUUACGCCACAAAACAACCUUAACGACGACACAACUAAGCUAACCACCAGGUAAUCGAUAUUUUUAUCAACUUUGCAACCACCUAAGUAAACCACUGAAAUUAUAUUAACAACAGAGCUAUUUCAUACCAUAUAUAAUUUUAAUAUUUUUAAUAUGAGAAAUUCCACUAAUCCAUUACAUUCAAGUUAAUACAUAGUAUAAUAAUAGAUAAGAAAUUAUAUUAACAUUUUUAUUUCAAAAAUUUAAUUAAUCAUAUGUAUGCAGGAGCUACUAUAGAUGCAGUCACAUGGACGAUCAACAUUGUGAAGCAAUGAAACAUGUUCAACAAACACAAAAUAACCCUCCAUUGUACCGGACUACAUAUUAUGGCCAUCACACUUGUCAAAGUUCUUUCCAUUCCGACCUAAAUUUCGAAUCCAAUUUGUCCUCUGAUGACUCUUCUAUAUUACUUAGUUUUGAUAACAACAUUCUAAGCAAACAAGAACAACCAUUUCCACCAUUGCCACUUCUUGCAUCUGUAAACGGAGAUCCCAAGGAAGUUAUCCAUGAUGAUCAUUUUAUUCCAAAUCAAUUGUGCACGUCAGAAAACCUCCAAUUAUGCGAUUUUGAUGUUUAUUUUGAUUAUUUGAGGCAUGCUACUGUGCAAUUAUAGAGUGAAUCUUUUUAAUUUGAGAAUGCUUAUGAUCAAUUUAGAUUCUGAUAAUUAGUCAGAAAUAUUAUGAGUCUAAAUCUUAGAGUAAGUAAAUAUGUAAAAAGUGAUGAUCCUUCAAUAACCUUAAGGUUCCUUAUAUAUAGGUCCUCUAGUACCCGCCCAGGCGAGAAUGUCUCGUGGGCGUCAUGGGAGCGGUUAGCUCCACAUCCUUGGAUGAGGUAUCCCAUGUGGCCUAUUAUUUCGGCUCUAUCCACCUUCCACGACUGAGUCCAUGAUCAUCUAUGGAAUUAUCCGUUAUGGACUAUUUUGGUCAAGCCUUUUAGGCGUGUUGGGCCCUUCUAACAUUAGGGCGAAUCAAGCCAAUAUGAUUUUUUGGGUCCCACACCAAGUACAAUAUCUAUUCGAUAUUUAGACUAUAUCAAAAACACNNNNNNNNNNNNNNNNNNNNNNNNNNNNNNNNNNNNNNNNNNNNNNNNNNNNNNNNNNNNNNNNNNNNNNNNNNNNNNNNNNNNNNNNNNNNNNNNNNNNNNNNNNNNNNNNNNNNNNNNNNNNNNNNNNNNNNNNNNNNNNNNNNNNNNNNNNNNNNNNNNNNNNNNNNNNNNNNNNNNNNNNNNNNNNNNNNNNNNNNNNNNNNNNNNNNNNNNNNNNNNNNNNNNNNNNNNNNNNNNNNNNNNNNNNNNNNNNNNNNNNNNNNNNNNNNNNNNNNNNNNNNNNNNNNNNNNNNNNNNNNNNNNNNNNNNNNNNNNNNNNNNNNNNNNNNNNNNNNNNNNNNNNNNNNNNNNUAAUAUGUAUUGAUAAUCAUGUUCAUGCCAGCUAUGCUGCAGAUUAAAAGGAUCAAACUCUACUCGAGGGCACACAUAUUAUAUUUUAUUCAUCAUAUAUUCCCUAACCAAAUGAUACUGACAUAUAUACUAAUUUUAGAUAUAUUAUAGACAAUAUAUACAGAGUUGAUGUUCGAAUCCCAACAUUUUACUUAUUCAUUUUUAAGGAAAAUAUUUUAGCCACUAAAUCAUUUGACAUAAAAGAAGAAGGAAAUGGUGCGUUUGAGAUUUUAUUAGAGCGGUCGAUGGUCAAUAUAAGUAACAUUAAAUGAUAUAAUUAGAGAUUUUGUUGAUCAAUGGCCUGUUUGAAUUGACCUAAUUUUAAGCUUAGGUAGAAUAGUUUAUACAAAUAGAUAAAUUUUUAUAUAUUUUUAUAAGUUUGUUAAAAUAGUUUAUGAAAUACAAAUACAAUUGUAGUUAGUGAAAACUUAUGAAUUAACCUAAAAGCUUAUUUAUUUGCAUAAUUGCAUAAGCUUAAAAAUAAACUAAUUCAAAUGGGCAACAAAAGUUGUAUUUAGUCAAAAAAAAUAAAUUGUAUGAAUGGUUAUCAAAUUAUAUAUUAUAAGAUAAUAUAGACACAUCUUGAACAUAAAAAAAAUCUUAGCAUUGACAAUUAAAUAAAUAUAAAUUUGUCAUUAAUUAGGAUAGAAAACCAUAAUUCUAUAAUUUUCAAGAAAAUGGGUGUCGAAUUAAAUAUAUAAUAAGUAAUUAUAAGCUAAUUGAAUUCUGUCAAAAAAAAAAUAUGUUACCAAAUAACUUUUUUCCAAUAUGAACUUAUAAAUUAUAAGUCAUAAGUACAUUUAGUAUUCAGCCCAACAUACCAAAAAAAAAGACAAAAAUUCUCACCCCCUUAAAACAAAAAACUAAGGCGAGGAAGAAGCCCUAAAGUUAUCUUACAAUUCAAUUCAAAGGAUUCACAUGUCAUUCAUAUAACAAACAAGAAAAACUGAAGUAUUUUACGCUGAUAACUUAAGUGAAUAUUUGUAAAUUUAUGAGAUAAAAAUAAAACAAUAAAAUAAGGAAGCAAAAUGUCUAACAUUUAGAUCAAAAUGAAACAAAAAAAAUGUUUAAGGGGCUCAAAUUAAACUUAAAAAUAACUUAGAGAAAAAGUGUGAUUUAAUCUAAUAAUAUGGUUACAACAAGAUCUCCUUUUACAGGAUAAUUUUGUACUAAGGAUCAAGAUUCUCUAUGGAAAAGAACUUGAAAAUUAAUGUGCAGAUCUUGACCAUUGAUUGACCUCUACAUUAUAUAUUUAUGAUUAAGAUCAAUAGUAGAUCUUGAUUAUUGGCAAAUAAGGAGAUCAAUGGUUAAAAUCGCAACAUAAUUUACUCAAAUAAUAUUUUCAAUUGAGAGAAUUCAUUUUUAAGUUUUAGAUAGAUUAAUAUUUGGCGAAGUGGGAUCAUCCCUUUGUUUGGGUAGAUAUUCUUCUACUUUAUUUUGAUGUGAUUGACUUGUGACUUGUGUUUCAUUUGGAUAUUCUUCUACUUUAUUUUGUAUUUGUUUACGGUGAGUUGUGAAUCGAACUCAGGACUUAUAGCCUACUAGUAUUAUCCAAACCUCUCACCACUAGAUCAAAGCUAGCGAGUUUAUAUUUAGCUUACAUUUAUUAAUACAUAUACGGAUAUACCGGAGCAUAUUAUAUUACCAAAAUAUAAAAUCCACAUCUUGAGUUUUUUCUUUCUUUUUUACAAGAUCUCUUUUAAAUUUGUUACUGGAUUAAUUAUUUCUUUAUUAACAAACUUCUAAUUAUAUUAGAUCUUUUCUGCAAUUUAUAAUAAAUAUUUUAUUGUAAACAUGAACUAAUUAUCCCGUAUAGUUGUAAAACUAUAUUACCCUCCUUCCUUAAAUAUAAUACUUUCUUAAGUUAUUUAGCUAUAUCAUAUAUCAUAUAUUUAUUUAGCUUAUCUAACAUGUAUAAUUGAGUUAUUUAUUUGAUCAUGAUUCAUAUAAAAAACUUAAUUUGUUUAUUUUCUCAUGAUUUGUAUUUAAAAUUUAAAGUUAUUUNNNNNNNNNNNNNNNNNNNNNNNNNNNNNNNNNNNNNNNNNNNNNNNAUGAUAUAAUAGUUAUCAUGUUUGUUAUCCUGUGUGCACCAAACACAGGAUAGGAUAACUGAGGAUAACUGUUAUCCUGCUGAUAUCCUAUCCUAUCACUAUCCUGUUGUAUAUCCUAUCCUGUCACUAUCAUAUCAUGCGCACCAAACAGAUCCUAACAUGAUCUUAUUUUAGAGAUAGAGGUAGUAUUUUACCGUAAAAUAUUUUAUAUUUUCAUUUUUAAAAAAAUUAAAUUAUUCAAACCCAUCUCUAAAACAUUUAUAUAUGUUCUACAUAAAUUAAUAUAUUAUUAUUUUCCUUAUUAUUAUUAUUAUUAUUAUUAUUUUCUUAGUAAUGUGUAUCGUAAAUAAAUAAUUAGUUAUACUAUAUUUAUAAGAAGAUAUUAUUUUAAAAUAUUAUAUAUAAUUAUUAUUUCAUAUAUAUGAAUGCAAUAAAAUUUUAUUCAAAACCAAUCUUAACUAAAUUUAUUCAAAACCAAUCUUAAUUAAACUAUAAUGUAACAUCAAUCUUUUAGGUCUAAGUUUGGGUUUUAUUUUCCUUUAAUAAUACUCCUUGGAUAUUGUAAAGGUGGGGAUAUGUUUUUCUUUUAUUUUAUUUAUUUGUAAAACCGAAAAUUAAUAUUGUAGAAAACCUUUGAAAAAGGUAUAAGAAAUGGUUUAUGAAUCUUACUUUCUCUUGUUUGACCCUUUUGGAAUAUUUUUGGUGUUGAGAGUCUUGAGUUUCUUGCAAGAUCUACCCAAAUCCUCCUCCUCUUCCUCCACCUUGUGGCAAUUUGUUGACAAAGAAUAAUCUCCAACAUUUAUAGGAACAGCCACAUCAUUAGAUUCUUGAUUGUUGUUCAAGAGCAAAAUUGUAUUUGUCAAUGAUUUGAGUACCUCACGAACAAGAUCUUCAGCAACACUUAAGGGCAACACUUUCGAUGAUGAUGAUGACUUCAAAUUUGACCCUUUUAUUUCUCUAAUAAUAUUUGACUUAUCAUCAAAAGUUAGUACUUCAAGUACUUGAUUUGCCAUGUCACGUCCUCUUAAUAGCUCUUCUUCCAUUGCCUUUUUGCUAUUUGUAGGAAUCCAAACCAGAUUAUCCAUUAUCUUUUUGAUAGUGUAAAGUAAAUUAAUUAAACACACCUUGCUAUAGUUAGCUAGGUUUAAUUAAGGAAAAUGUUGGAUGUGAGAGAAUAAAGAGGGGCAUGGCCUUUUUAUUCACCUUGGUACUUUCCCACUUGUAAUUUUUAAUUUGUUCUACUUGGUAGUAUAUAGACAAAAGUAUCUUGAUCAAGUUCAUUGUACAAAGCCCAAAGUUGUGCGUGAUCAACACACAUCAUGUGAAAAAUUUAGUAUAAAAUAACGGGUUUUUGCUAAUUAAUUUAUAUUUAUAAUAUACAAAAUAAUUACUCCCUCCAUCUCAAAAUAUAAGAGCUACUUUGACUAAAUGACACUAUUUAUUUGUCUUGCUUUGAUCAUAUUUUUUUAAUAAUAUAUAAACAUAAAUAUUAGCAUAUAAGAUCUUGUUUGAUUUGUUUUGAUGAACAUUUUCAAAAUAUCAAAUUUUUAUAUGUUUUACUAAUAUAAAAUUAAAGAUAUUAGUGAUCAAAAUUGUGCAUUGACAUACGUAUAUUAGUCAAACUAGCUCUUAUAUUUUGGAACGGAGGAAAUACACAUUAAUGAAAGGUACACGAACAACAAGUUGUGUCACUAAUCUUUUCUGAAUGGCAAAACCAAUCCUUUUACUAAUGUAUGUUUUUUUUUCCUUUUUUAGGAAAGGUGAAGAAAGAUUUUGCUAAUGUAUGUUAAGUAACCUAAAUAUAGAAUUUUUAUUUUGAAAAAUACAAAAUUUUGAUUUUUAAAAAAUGAAUGCGUGACUUUUAAGACGAUUAUUUUUUUAUUGUGUUCUUUAUUAUGUGUCUUUAAGGCAUAUAUUAGCAUUUGCCUAAAAUAAGUGAGUCUAUCAAAUGGGUUGAUCUUGACCACUCUCGCUCGAUAGAUCCAACUAUAUAAAUGGGAAAGAUCGAACACGCCUGAUUAUUAUUGGAUUGCAUAUUAUUAAUGAUUUUUAAAUUAGGUUAUAAUAUUUAUAAUUUUUUUUCUUUUUACUAAUACUUUUAAAAAAUCUUAUGAAGAUUUUGAUAUCGAACCAACCCGAAUUCCGAUGUACAAGCUCGAUCGGAUCCAAUUUUUUACAUGGGCCAAAUUAAUUAUGCUUGAAAAUAUAAUUGUUUUUGGACAUAUUUUGUACCAUAGACUGUGUAGGUCUAUUAAAUCCGACUCAUUUUGACAGCUCUAAUAAAAAAAUUAAUAAGGGUGGAGUUGUGACAGAAAGGAGUUAUUAAAGGCAAUGUUGUGUUUUAUGUUUAAUUUUGAGGAAAUAUAUAGAAACUCAUGAUCAUUUGUUUUGUUCAUGUAAACAUGGGAGUAUUGUAGCAGUUUUUGGCUUUUAACAAUUUGGUCACAAUUAAAAAUGCUAUGUUUUCUUUCUUAAUUAAUUUGGUUAACUAACUAGCUCUUGGUGUAUUCGGUUAAAGAGAAAUGAGAUUAUUUUUAAUGGAAAAGUUGAAAACAUGAUCGAUUGGCUUGAUAAAUUAAGAGUUUAAUAUAUUUUUAGUUCCUACAAAAUGGCGAACUUUUAAAUUUUGUCUCUCAAAACCAUAUGACUCAACAGAUGAUAUAUAUGUCCCUUAACAUGCGUCUGGAUCUGCUAUUCACACCCAAGAAUCUCGAACAGGAUUUGCUGCAGUUUAUAUCCACACAGUUUUCACGCUGUUUUCAAUGAGGACUGUCCGAUCUAAUAUUAGUGAUUGAGAUUGAUUUGUACUAAUUUUAUUAAGAUGCAAUCUGAACCGACCAAUUUGAAAUGGAUGGCUGUGAUUUACUACUGCGUGUAACUGUGUCAUUUAAUUACUUCAGUAGAUCGUGGUCCCUAGAAUCCGAUAAAGAAUACUGUAAAACAAUGUUAUCCAAAGCAAAGCAACAUUCUCUGUUGUGUCAAAGUGGGUAUUCAUCCAAGAAGUCCCACAUCGAAUAGUUGAAAGGAAAAAAGAGGUAGAAUUUUAUUAUAAAUAAGGAGAGUCACAUUAAGUUUUGUUCACCACAACAACUCUAGUCUUAUGAGUUUAAGGCUAGGGUAGUUGUGAGUUAUGGGAGGAGGGUUUGCAAUUUUUCCAUGCAAAAAUUGUAGUUGAUGAGGGUUUGCAAUUUUUCCGUGCAAAAAUUGCAGUUGAGAGAGUUUGUAAUUUUAGUCCUUGAAAAAAAAUUGUAAUUGUAUGAGAGUUUGAUAGGUUGCAACUUCGUCGGCUUGUAAAAAUUUCAGAUUUGGUAUUAUAUUAUUGCAGAUUUGAUAGUAAAAUAUUACUGUGGAUUGAUUUUGUUUGGUUUUAUUUAUUUCUUGAAGAUUCUUUUUGUUUUAUUUAUUGUGUGGACAUUAUUUUUUUCGAUUAUUUUCCCAACACUCUCCCCAAAAAUUUUCCUCCCACACAAAUAAAUGUUUGUGCCACACCCACCCAUUUCCACAAAGACCCCAACCUACUGAAAUACCUAUAUUUAAAUUCAAAUAAAAAAAACCUCCCAAAUUGAGACUUUAGCGAUCGCCCAUUUAACCCCUCAUCCUUCCACAAUAAAGUACUUUUACCAUCUCUUACCUUUCUUUCAAAAUGGUCACGAAAUAAAAAAUGUUCUGACACAGGAUUCUUGAAACGUUUGUGAAGCAUUCCUUCGCAAGAAAUAUCAUUUUCCAUUUUCUAAAAUAACUACUUUAAGUCUUGAAUGGGUAAGUUUUGUCAUUAUAAAUUUCAAAUGUAGCAAAAAAAAUCAUUAAGUAUUUCCUUUUUAUUAGUAAUUUUAUCAGAAAAAAUUUGAAUGACUUAGUUUUAUAAAAAUAAAUUGAUCAACAAAAAAACAUAUUUAAAAAUAUAAUAACUAAUAAAACCUUAAAUUCAAUAACUAUAACGACGACCAACUAAAACAACACUGAAAAUGUGUUAAAAAAAUUUGAUACAAUUAAAAAAAAUUGAAAACUCGAUAUCCAAUACAUUUAAAAAUUAUAAUGAUAAAUUUGAGAACAAAAGUUAUUGUUCUCAUUUUAAAUGGAAUGGUUUUUUUGACAAGUUAAAAGGAAUGGUUAAGAGCACUAUCUUUUCACUUUUUUUUGGGUACAAGAAGCACUAUAUUUUUUAAAUGGGAUUGUAGGGUGAGCUCAUUAUGCUAACAUCAUGCUGCUGAGAACACAAUUUAACAAUAAUAUGUUAAGACAAUAAUACCCCUUGAUUCAUGUUGGGAUUAUUGUAGCCGCCCACGUGUUUUAUUUGUUUAUUCGAACUAGUUAAGGGUAGUUUAGGGUAUACAUAUGUAUGUGUGUACGGACAAAUGCUAUGGGUGAUUGAUUCUUUUUUCUUCGUUAUUUCCCUAUUUGGUUAUUCUAGGUUGUAUACACUAUCAUUUUUAUUUUAUUAUUUUUUACCAAAAAUUGGGUUGGCACAUAAUUUAUAAUCCAAGUACGACCAAACCAUAUACCAUAUUACCAUUGCUCAGAUUUUUUUUGACUAUAUUUGUCAAAAAAAAUACUUUUGACUGCAAAAUUAACGCGGAGUUUGUUGUAGGAAGCCAAUGUACUUUCCAUCCAUUCACUUCAACCAACAAAAAAAAAUGUUAAUCAAAUUGAAUUAUUCUAGCUAUACUAAUUAUACAAUUAAUUACUUUGUCUGCCUACCCCUAUCACUAUCCCUAUCCUAUCAUUUGAAUUAUUUACUUGAUACUGUACUAAUUAUACAAUUAAUUAGCAAUGAUCCUGUUGUGAAUUCGUCUUAAAAUCACACCAAUGAAUAACUUGAUGUGUGGAGCAAUAGAACAGCAACCAAUAAUUAAGCGGAAUAAGCAAUAAUAAUAAUAACCGAUAAAAGAUAAAUGAGAAGAAAGAACANNNNNNNNNNNNNNNNNNNNNNNNNNNNNNNNNNNNNNNNNNNNNNNNNNNNNNNCCAAGGUGUACCACAAAGAUAGUUCUCCCACCCUAGAGUUAUACCAAGAGAAAACUUUAUUUCCUCUCUAAAACCCUAGCCCUUGUGUGGUGGCAAACCCUAAUCCUUGCCUCUACAUUGUUGCUCCCUUUUUCUCUCAAUUUUUCUAUGAAUAAAGCACUCCCUAUUUAUAGAAAAAUAAUAUGCCAAAAAAUUAGUAACAAAUCUGUUUUAAAAUAAAACAAAUCCAAGUCAAAGUAUCUUCCAAGAAAAUAUAUUUUUUUCCCAAAAAAUCUUCAAAACAUCAAAGAUGCAAAAAGAUUCAACAAAGAUUUUUCUGACUUCUUGUAACUGAGAUUUCAAGGCAUAUCCAACAGAUCCAUCUUGAUCCAAUUGGUUUUUUUUUUUGACACACCUUGAUCCAAUUGUUAUUUGUCGCUGAACUGAAAUUGGUGACGGACGGUAUAACUUGAGGCACUUACGUAAGCUUUGUGACAUCACUCACCGCAUAUUCCUUUGCAUUUAUUGGUCGUGUGUCUUAGCAGUUUGCAUUUGUCUCGAGAUUCCUCCUAGCUAGGGCAUUUUAUGGUACUCCAUCCAUCUUUUAACUAUUCUUAAAAUAUUUAAGCGAUGUUUCCGAGACAUUAAUUAAGCAUAUUAUUUAAAGAAAUUUUACUUUUGAAUUUAUGUAUUCAAUAAUUUAAAAAUAUAAAAGUCAUUUUUCUAAUAUUCACUCCGGACAUAAAUAUAAGAAAAAAAAUACUUUAAAUUUUGGACAUAAAUAUAAGUAAAAGUCAACUACUUUUAAACUAAUUAAAUCACUUUUCAAAUGGUAAUAUAGUAAACUUAACUCAUGUUUUGCAUUAAAUCAAGAAAAUUAACUACACUUAACUAAAUUUCUUAAACACCGCGUAAACGGUUAUUUUUUCUUAUAUUUGUGUUUGGAGGGAGUAUUAAUUUUGUUUUUGAUUUUUUUUUGUAUGCUUAACUAGUGUCUCGGGGGCACUGUUUAGCAUGAACCUUAACUAAUUAUAUAUAAAAAUUUAAUAUAUUUCAUAUUUAUUGAAUAACUGAUGUAUCUGAUCUAUAAUGUAGAUCAGAUAUAUCAUAGUUAUUCAAUGAAUCUUAAAAAUUAACUUUUGGUUAUAAUUAAGAUUGAAGUAGUACUACUACCCAAGAACACUUAGAUGAGAUGACAUGAGUCUCAUCUAGCUUAACCAAGGUUUUGAAUUCGAUAUUUGACUUGGGCAUGCAACAAUGUUAAAACUCUUAAGAAAAGUUUGUCACCUAUUUGAGUUCCAUAAGACUCAAGGAAUUAGUCUCCUAAGACUGAAGUAGUACUAGUAUCAGAGUAUUAGGGAUGUAUUUUGAAAUUUUAAUAAGUAGGAUCAAUAUUGUAUAAUAAAAAUUUAUUCGAUAAUUUUUGUUUAUAAUUGUAGUUUAUUAUUUCUUUCUCUUAAUUGUUCAUUUUUAAAAAAAAAAUCCAUUUCUUUUAAUAUUUUUUUCCAUUUCUAGCAUGUUAAUUAAAAAAUAUAACACAUCAAGAACGAAUUGGAUCAAAUGGGGCCUCUUAAGCAAAUGGCGAGGGGUUUGAUUUAUGGGUGAUUUUGUGUAUGCAAAAAUUGUUCGGUUAGGAUAGAGGUAACUCAUCUUGUAUAUAACAAAAUUUUCUAAUGGAAAUUAGUCACGGUUAACAGCAACUAUAGUAAAAACUUAGUACCUAUAACGUGAUAACUAAAAAAUAAAUAAAAAUUCCAUACCAUGGUAGAUCCGUGUCUAAAGAGCAACGAAUAAAAUAUUCAAAGUGUCAUGUUAAAAUUUGCCAUAAAAAACAUAGGAAAAUGCUAAUGAGGGCUUCUAGCGCACUCUAGAGCGUAAAGUCACGACAUUGAGAAUUGAAAUGUUUUACUUUCAAAACUCAAAAACAUAUAUAUGCUAUAAAUUUAUAAAUAGAUGGAAUUUCUCCUCUCAAUCGAGUUAUUUUCAUAUGUAAGAUUCAGAAAAGAUACGGUUGUCUAUCAGUUUAAGAUGGCUAAAACUCGUAUCACUUAAAACAAUUCUUUCUGGGUAAACGAAUCUUCACUAUAAAUCUUAGUAUUUAAAAGAAAAACAAAAAUAAGCCCUCUCAGUCUCACCCCUCAGCUCCAAGAGUCUUUCUCGAAAAAGUACAUAAAUGAAUGAGAAGAGUUUCUCUCUUGUUCCAACAAUCGCUGGUUCUGGUUCCAUUUCCAAAUCCAACAACGAUGUCUCUGCUUCAACGUGAGUGUUUUUUGUGGAAUCCAAGUUGCUACAAAGAAGACACGGGUAUAUUGUCAUAUUAGUACUUUUUAUAUUAAUUAAUUACCAUUUAUUUAUUAUAUGUAUUACUUGGAACUCUUUGAUGUGUAUUUUCCUUUUUUAAAUAAUAAUAAUAAUAAUAAUAAUAAUNNNNNNNNNNNNNNNNNNNNNNNNNNNNNNNAGUAUCUUUCUUGUUUAAUUAAUUAAUCAGCAUAUUUUUUGUCAAGAUACGGUAAUAUUCAUUUUCUUAACUUUCUUCAUCUGGAUUUUCAGAGCUAAAUUUUAUCUUGUAAAAAAAUAAAAACAACUAGAUUUUUAUUGAAGUACAAGGUUAUUAUAUAUAAUAAUUAUUAUCUAGUUUGACAGCUAUUCAAAUUAUAAAAAAAAAAAUAUUAUCUAGUUUAUAAAAAAAUAUAUAUAUAGUUUAUCCGUAAAUUCACCCUAAUUAUUUAGAAAUUUUGUCUCCACUUGAAAUAGUAACAAUUUUUAAUGUUGGUUGUUGGGGAAUGCCAUUUUCAACAGAAAACUUAAUUAGUCUAUCAUUCUUUCAACUUAGCUAGCUAGGUUUCAAUUUGUUCAAAUUAAUGGAGAAUAAACAUCCUUNNNNNNNNNNNNNNNNNNNNNNNNNNNNNNNNNNNNNNNNNNNNNNNNNNNNNNNNNNNNNNNNNNNNNNNNNNNNNNNNNNNNNNNNNNNNNNNNNNNNNNNNNNNNNNNNNNNNNNNNNNNNNNNNNNNNNNNNNNNNNNNNNNNNNNNNNNNAAGAUUUGUCAAAGUGCCCAAAGCUUGAAGAAACAGAUCAUGAAGCUUGCAAGACUUUUAAAGUUCAAAGAGGGUGCUACAAAAGAAAGUAAGAUUUACAAAUUACAAGUAUCAUAUGCAUACCUUGAUAGAGAGUUAUGCUUUAUGAUUUUUCUUUUUGGUUAUCAUAUUUGAAAUAUAUAUGGUCUCAUUAUUAUCAACAACAAAAAAAAAGAAGAAGAAAUAUGGUUUCAUUCUUCUUGACAAUUACUAUAGCUAGCUAGACUAUCAUGAUAUAUAUAUUAUAAAUAAAUAUAAAGGUGCAAACCACAUUAAUUUUUUUUUAAGUAACUUCAAUUGAGUUCAAACCACAUUGAUUUAUGUAACGAUUGCCCAUCUGUGCACUUAUUGAGCAUAUUAAAAAAAAAAAAUAUUAAAGACAAAAUUAACAAAUUAAAUUAGUUAUUCAAUAAAUCUUUAAAAUAAAUAUUUACUUAUAAUUAAGGUUGGAGAGAAUAUAAGAGAACAUUCAUUAUGAACAGAAAUGUCAAUACUAGAACUUAAUUAAACACUCACCCAAACCUCAGAAAAGGAAUACUUCUUUUUUAAAAAUGGCAAAUAAUAUCUAUAAAUAAUGAAAUCAGAGUACAAAAUAUACUCAUACUCGUCACAAAGUACCCAUUACAUAAGGAGACAACAAAAAAAUUAAGUCAAGACUAAAUGAAAAAGGUAAGAGGAAAAACAAAACAAAAAUCAAGAGAACCGGUCUAUAUCCCACUCAUAAAAAAAAUAAGGAAAUCUAUAAAGUUUAUCCACAAAUCAUUUUUAAGACGACAACUCAAUAAAUAUAUUAAUUACUCAAUAAAAACAACCUUAUUCGAGAAAAUAAUAUCAUUCUAUGAAUUCUAAAUCAACCAAAUAUCUAUGAAUGCCAAACCAAAAUCUAAACCAUAAGCAACAAACCAAAAAGAAAAAAACUUUAGAAUAAAUUAACCAAUUUGAGAGGAAUAUAGGCAAUUCUUAUCCAAAUCAAUGAAAAAUCUUAUACCACACUUAAGCCCAAUAUAACAAUCAACAAAUAGAUGCCGCACAGACUCUUGGAAGAGUUCACACAUUAUGCAUCUCACAUGCCCUUAUCUUGAAGAAUAUUGAGUGACAGGGGCAAUAAGCCUAGUAUUUUUUUGUUUUUUAAUGGCAAAUAGAUAAAUAUAUAUAAUAGAUAAAAAUGUCAUAAUACAAAGUAAGAAUAUCAGAAAUACUCAAAAAUAAAAUGAAUAUUUACAUAAGAAACACCAAAAAGGACUCUGGGAAGCAAACAAACCACCAAAAAGGUCCAGAUAGACCACACUGUUCACAUUAGAACCAUACCUAACCAUAUACCUGACGCCUAACACCCAUCCCAAAAAAGCUCUCAAAAACUUGUUCUAUUCGGAGAUACAUACUCGAUCCCUAACCAUGUAGUAAUACAAUACUAGAUCGGAAAAAUCCGAUCGCAGGAAACAAAAAGGUGGUUUAUCGUCUCUUCAACCGGCCCACAAAACACAAAGGAGGUAUCAUUAGUCCCUAGUAUCUAAAAGGAGAUUAAGCCUAGUAUCUAAAAGGGUCUGCCAAGAAAGUGAAAUAAUCUUUGAAUGUGCACAACUCUUCCACACUAUUUAGCGGUAGACAGUGGGCGGAUAUGAGCGGGUUCGGGCUCAAAGUUGUCAUCCGGUCUAAACCGUAGAGUCGAAAAAUAGGGCACAAUCCACCCAAAAAAUGAAGAGUGGUUUUCACGGGUUCGGGUUUGCGGUUUAAGCGGGUUGUCGGGCUGUUCGAAGCGGUUAGACAUAAAAAAAUUAAAAUAAAAUUAAAAUAAAAACAAUAACGAACCCAAAAUUUGGAGUUUAGAUCUAGAAAAUUGAUGAAUUAUUUCGCAAGUGCACGAAAAUCACGUAGUAAUAAAAAUAUCGAUCCACAGGGAUUGUGUGAUCAAACUAGUCGAAUCGUGUUCAUAGACAUUAUACAGAAAAUACACAUAAAUUGGGGGUAUGUUGNNNNNNNNNNNNNNNNNNNNNNNNNNNNNNNNNNNNNNNNNNNNNNNNNNNNNNNNNNNNNNNNNNNNNNNNNNNNNNNNNNNNNNNNNNNNNNNNNNNNNNNNNNNNNNNNNNNNNNNNNNNNNNNNNNNNNNNNNNNNNNNNNNNNNNNNNNNNNNNNNNNNNNNNNNNNNNNNNNNNNNNNNNNNNNNNNNNNNNNNNNNNNNNNNNNNNNNNNNNNNNNNNNNNNNNNNNNNNNNNNNNNNNNNNNNNNNNNNNNNNNNNNNNNNNNNNNNNNNNNNNNNNNNNNNNNNNNNNNNNNNNNNNUAAAAACCCUAAAUCGACAUAAAAAGUAAGAAAAAAAAAUUAAAAUCUCAAAUAAAAUUAAAAUAUAACCUUUGAUUUCAACGAAGUUAAACAAACAAGAUGAAGAAUGAUCAAGUUUUGGAUUUCAAAAUGUUUUAGUCUCCUUGGUUUGAGGUGAAGUGUGAAGAGGAGACGUGAGAAGAGCUUAGAUUCGGCGUUUUGAUUUACUCAUGCGGGCGGGUUUUGGGCACCGUCUGUCCACUAUACUCUACACCCUAAUAUUCUCCUAUAUAUAAGUAUUCAUACAUCAAUCCCUAAGUAUGAAACGUCGUGCCUCCAAUUUUCACUUUCUUUUAUCUCAUUAAAAUACUGACUUGAGCGUUGAGUGCUAACAUUUUUACAAGUACCUUUUCCCCCAAAAAGACCAAGAAACCAUCCCAUUAUCAUCAUUUACAAGUCCGACAAGCUGAAUCAUCAUCAUCUAAGACAAUCAUUUCUGAACAACCAGUUCAAUCCACUCCUUGAGACACAACCUUGUCUCCAAGGUUGAGUGAAUGAAACUGUUGAGCCAUAGCAUCCACCUCUUCCCAUGUAGCUACUUCCAGCGAUUUAUCCUUCCAAUGCACCAAUACUUGAGUGAUAGUCUCACCUCCCUUGAGUACCUCCCUAUAAGCCAACCCAACUAAUGGUUCUCAAACAGAGUAAAUAGUCAGUUCCAAUUCCACCAGAAGGUUAGGAUGAACCUUAGAAUUAACAAUAGCCCUCCUUAGUAGUGAAACAUAGAAUACCGGAUGAACGCGAGAUGAAACCAGUAAUGUCAACUUGUAAGCUACCUUGCCCACACGUGUUUCCACUAUAAAAGGGCCAUAAUAACGAGUUGAGAGGUUCAGACGAAUAUAUGAAGCUACAAAUUGUUGCACAUGAGGACACACCUUUAAGAGAACCAUGUCACCAACCUCAAAUUGUCGCCCUUGACGAUGAGUAUCAUCUUGAUGUUUCAUUCAAUUUUGCGCACGAAUGAGAUGACGCUUAAGCUACCUUAGACAUUCAUCUUUAUCCAAUAACUCCUAAUGAACAACUUUAACCUAAGCCUCUCCUGGUAAUUGAGAAACAAGAAAUGAUGGGUGAAACUCUUCCAUACAUCGCUUUAAAAAGGAGUUGUGCUCGUAGAACCAUGAAAAUUAGUAUAAAACAAAUACUCGGCCCAUGGCAACCACAAUGCCCAUUGAUGAAUAAUUUGCAAGUGCACAAAAUUAUCGCAAGUAGUAAAAUUAUCGAUCCUUAGGGAUUGUUAUAAUUCAACACAAAUUGAAUUCAUACUUAAACACAUAACUUUUAAAUGUAAAAAAGGGGGGAAUUUCGUUUGGUUCAAAGUUGAUCAUAAACUUUAAAAUUGACUUAGGAUUUAAAAUCAAUGGAAGAAAAGCGAUUGAUCAUUUUGGUUCAUCCAAUUACUACUUCUCUUGGUAAUUUCAUGUAUGAUUACAAAUUACUCAAUUUAGUUUCACGAUUAGAUUAAAUCUCAAGUGAUUAUGCNNNNNNNNNNNNNNNNNNNNNNNNNNNNNNNNNNNNNNNNNNNNNNNNNNNNNNNNNNNNNNNNNNNNNNNNNNNNNNNNNNNNNNNNNNNNNNNNNNNNNNNNNNNNNNNNNNNNNNNNNNNNNNNNNNNNNNNNNNNNNNNNNNNNNNNNNNNNNNNNNNNNNNNNNNNNNNNNNNNNNNNNNNNNNNNNNNNNNNNNNNNNNNNNNNNNNNNNNNNNNNNNNNNNNNNNNNNNNNNNNNNNNNNNNNNNNNNNNNNNNNNNNNNNNNNNNNNNNNNNNNNNNNNNNNNNNNNNNNNNNNNNNNNNNNNNNNNNNNNNNNNNNNNNNNNNNNNNNNNNNNNNNNNNNNNNNNNNNNNNNNNNNNNNNNNNNNNNNNNNNNNNNNNNNNNNNNNNNNNNNNNNNNNNNNNNNNNNNNNNNNNNNNNNNNNNNNNNNNNNNNNNNNNNNNNNNNNNNNNNNNNNNNNNNNNNNNNNNNNNNNNNNNNNNNNNNNNNNNNNNNNNNNNNNNNNNNNNNNNNNNNNNNNNNNNNNNNNNNNNNNNNNNNNNNNNNNNNNNNNNNNNNNNNNNNNNNNNNNNNNNNNNNNNNNNNNNNNNNNNNNNNNNNNNNNNNNNNNNNNNNNNNNNNNNNNNNNNNNNNNNNNNNNNNNNNNNNNNNNNNNNNNNNNNNNNNNNNNNNNNNNNNNNNNNNNNNNNNNNNNNNNNNNNNNNNNNNNNNNNNNNNNNNNNNNNNNCUUCCAUACAUCGCUUUAAAAAGGAGUUCUGCUCGUAGAACCAUGAAAAUUAGUAUUAAACAAAUACUCGGCCCAUAGCAACCACAAUGGCCAUUGAUGAAUAAUUUUCAAGUGCACAAAAUUAUCGCAAGUAGUAAAAUUAUCGAUCCUCAAGGAUUGUUAUAAUUCAACACAAAUUGAAUUCAUGCUUAAACACAUAACUUUUAAAUGUAAAAAAAUGGGGGAAUUUCGUUUGGUUCAAAGUUGAUCAUAAACUUUAAUAUUUACUUAGGAUUUAAAAUCAAUGGAAGAAAAGUUCCUUUUGGUUCAUCCAAUUACUACUUCUUUUGGUAAUUUCAUGUAUGAUUACAAAUUACUCAAUUUAUUUUCACGAUUAGAUUAAAUCUCAAGUGAUUAUGCCCAAUGUCUUGGUAACAUAAUACUCUCCCUUGAUCAUCGAUUCCUAAUGUCUUAGUUAAUCUAUGAUCAAUUGAGGUUUACAAACUUUAAUCUUUUAAUCUCAAUUAACAAUCCGAAAUGUCUUAAGUGAAAGUUAAUUGAUCAAUCAUUCCUAAAUCGGUCAUUCAUUCCUAUCGUCAGAGUAAAACAAAUAAUUGAAAUCAUCAUAUAAUUGGCCAAAUCAUAUAAAGCAUUAAGCACAAGGAAUAUUUGAAGAAACUAACUUCAUAAUUCAUUGAUCAUAACAUAUGAUAAUCACAUGGUUCAAGAGAAAUAAUAAUCAGAAUCCCCUAAGGACCAAUCAUGGGAGUUUAGUUACACAUAGUAUAAAAAGGCAUUACAAUCAAAGAAAUGAAAGAAAACAUGAUUACAAGAUAAUCUUGAUGUGUUUCCACACUUCAAUCCUUGCCUCCAAGCUCCUAGAUCUCCAAAAGUUCUUCAAAUUGAUGUUUCCAAUGUAAAUUUUCGAUCCCUCAUCUGUAGAAUUUUCGCCCCAGGCACUGGAAAUUCCGCCCCAGGCGGCAAAACAGCAAAUGGCUUGAUUUUCUGAUGAAAAUUUCGCCCAAGGCACAAAGAAUUUCGCCUGGGGAGUGAAAACAGGAACUUUGGUUCAUUUUUUUUCAACUCUUCAGCUACUUUCUUCCUUUGAAAAUAUCCUCAAACUAAUGCAUUAUUCUGGUUCCAUAAAAUACGUCAAAAUUCUUCUAAAAACACUUGCAAUUGGUCUUUAUUUUCAUGUAAUGACGCAUGUCAUCACCCAUGACUUGGACUGAUCCGCCACAAAACAACACAAAAAGUUUUUGAAGCAACAAUCUACUACUUCUGUAUGUCCAUCCCUCUAAGAGUGAUAAGUGGUACUCAUCUUCAAUUGAGUACCUUGUAGCUUGAACUAUUCUUGCCAAAAAAUUAGUCAUAAAAAUGGGGUCUUUGUCGCCCGCAAUUGAAGAUGAAAUGCCAUGUAGUCAGACAAUAUCCUUUGUAACCCCUUAGCUAAAGAUCUAGCUGUGUACAAAUGCUUCAAGGGAAUAAAGUGACUAUACUUGGGCAAAUGGUCAACAACAACAAAAAUAACAUGAAAAUAUUUGGCUCUAGGUAUAAUCCAAUAACGAAAGUCCAUAUAGAGAUAGAGAGGUCCUCUAAAUGUUUAGAAGGUAUCAGAAGAGGUUGCAAAAGACCCCUAGGAGCAGCUGCCAUAUAUUUGUUACGUUGGCAAGUAUCACAUUCUUGGACAUAUUGUUGGAUGUUCUUCUUAAUUCCCACCCAAUACAAUUUUUUUGUCAAUAUCUAGCAAGUCAUAUAGAACCUAGAGUGUCCUCCUUAAGUAGUAAAAUUCAAUUCCUUGAGUAAAAUAGGAAUGCAAGUUGAGGAUGCAUGGCAUGAACCAUUAACCUAUCAUCAUAAAAUAACAUCACUCCAUAUAGCACACCAUCGUCACAAACACCUUUUCUUGUGACACUAGGCUCCACCAACAUCAUAAAAGUGAGAUAAAGCAUUUUACCCUGUGUUCUCCAAACUCGGUUUGGCUGCCCAAUUUUGUUGGUCCAUGGUGGUGAAUGGUGAUACGUUGCAACAAUAAUUGUUUAAAAUUUUUCUGAUCGGUGUACACCGUGAAUUUCUAACCCAAAAUAUAUGAUCACAAAUGUUGAAUGGCUAAUGUCACCGCCAUCAAUUCCUUCUCAUAAGCGACCUAGUCAAGUUCAUCUCACCUGAAGCCUUGAUAAAGUAAGAAAUGGGUUUCCCUUGUUGUAAGAAAAUUGCCCCUAAGCCAUUACGAGACACAUCACUCUUAAUAAAAAUCUCUUCAGUAAAAUCUGGAAGAGCUAAAACUAGUGUCGUGGUAAUAUGAUGCUUAAGAAUAUCAAAUGCCUUCCCUUGCAUCCCCAUUUGAAACCAUCAUUAAUUUUUAGUGAGUUCGGUAAGUGAUUUAGCAACCUUACGACAUCAACUCCUUCCCAUGGACAUAGCGGUUCCCAUCAACAUACUCUUGGAAUGGAGGUAUCUCUUCUUUUCUUCUUCUUUUAUAUUCGCAACUUCAACCCACUCUCCUCGAUAAUUGAAGCCCAUAUUCUUUUCUUUCCAAUCAACCUUCAUGCGACCAAUGGUAUACCAAGUCAUGUCAUACCCAACAGUCCACCAAUAUCGUCUAACUAAAAAAUAAUUGUAUCCAACUGAAAAGCAAAGCCUUGCGCAAACAUUACUAAGUCUUUGCAUUGUCCCACUGUUGGUUUUGAAUGUCCAUCACCAAGUUUCACCGCCAUAUUCAGUAGUAUCCCUCUUUGGCUCAUAUUUUGAGAUUGAAUGGCAAUCGCACUCUGCCAUAAUUAAUUUACCGAUUAUAUAAUAUGCAUUGUUUAGUCUUAAAUCAAUGAUCCGAAAAUCACUUACAACAGACAAUCCAUAUCCAUGUAUCUGAUGGCCCAAUGCAUUGUUGGGUUGAUUUAUUAUUGUUUUGCUCCACAAAUAACGACAGUUUGUUUUCCCCUCUCAAAUUUAUCUUUUCAAUCAUAAAAUUUCGAAAAACGUUUUCCAAAUUUAUUUUUUUUUUGUAAAUUUUAGUUGUGUUUGCUAAAAUUUACACUAAAAAAAACUUCGGAAAAUGUUUUUCAAAAUUUCCUACGUGAGAUGAGAAAUUUUGAGGGUGUAUAUGGAUGGGGGGGCAAGAAACGAACCACAAAUAAAAGGGCAAACAAAAACAAGAAAACUACUUUCAUGUGACCAAAAUCCUUGCUGCAUCCAUUGUUGUUCUAUUCUCUGUAUAUUCAUCAUCAACAACAAAUUCUAUUACACUAGAAAUGUAAAAGUUAGUUAGAGUUUGUUAGUAGGUUAUUAGAAAUAUAAAGUAAGUUACAAUUUGUUAAUUAUCUAUUAGCUCUAUUUAUUUCAUGUCUUCAUUUCACUAUCUUUUAUCGAUCAAUAUAAAUUAGGAAUUUUUUGUUGUAACAAAUUCUCAAAUUUAUAACCAAGAUAUUGGACUCAGGUGAUUUAUGAAUUCUCUCUAAGAUGAAUUGUUCGGGAAAAUCCCAAUUCGAUUUUUGGUGGGAAAAACUUUACUUAUCUUGCAGCCAAAUUCUGGAUUAUCGGGACCCUCUUUAUUUGUGAACCAGAGGGUUAACACAAAAAAAAUUCAAAUUUAUUUGUGAUUUGUGUAACACAUAUUUCAAGCCAGUCAAUUGUGUUGUCAAGGUUUGAACCCAAUGGUCCUAAGUUUCAAUAGUCUUAAUAUCCUUUUAUACUUAUUGUACAGCAAUUGAAUGAAAUCAAAACUUUUAGUCUAUUAUAAGUUUAUAAUUGUGAUGUAAUGCCAUUGAGAUCAUAAAAAAAAUUAAUUUAAUUAUCAGCAAGAGUUAGAUUUACAAAGAAGUGUGAUAUUUAUUUGUAGACUAUGUCAUUCUCAUCAGGUCAGAUGCAAUUACUUGGGAGAAGGAUAGCUCAAUUUUGAUUGAAGAUGGCUAUGAAUGGAGAAAGUAUGGACAAAAAAAAAUAAUGAAGGCAAAAUAUCUCAGGUGUAUAUCUUCAACUUCAAUUUUUUUAUUUUAUUUUAUUUCUUUAUAUGAUAUUGUCUCCUACAAAACACCGAUAUUCACGGACACCGGACAUGACACUUACUUGUCGGCAUUGAUGAACAAUUUGAAAAAAUAAAAUAAUUGAAUAUAAUGACAUGUGUCUGUGUCGCACACACAUCACUUAAUAUAUGAUUAUUUGUUGAGAAUGACUCAUAGUCACAGAAGAUGGGCAAGNNNNNNNNNNNNNNNNNNNNNNNNNNNNNNNNNNNNNNNNNNNNNNNNNNNNNNNNNNNNNNNNNNNNNNNNNNNNNGGGGGUGGGGGGCGAAUGGGGGUGUUGAGGCUCAUGGUUCGGUGUUAUUCUAAUAAUUUAGUCUAUAGUAUUAUCUAUAUGGAUUGUAACACUGAAAAUCCUAAUUCAUUCAAUUAAUAAUAUGAGACUAUAAUUGUUCUGUAGUCACAGACGUAGGCACACUUUGCUUGUUUUUGCGAUUGUUUCUUUAUUCUUUUGUUACUAAUUUUUGUUCUAACAUUAUUCAAUAUGAUCCAAAUGAUGAAUGCAUGCAUAUAGGAGCUACUACAGAUGCAGUUACAAAAGUGAACAAGAUUGUGCAGCUAUGAAACAAGUACAAAGAAUUCAAGAGGAUCCUCCAUUGUACAGAACCACAUAUUAUGGCCAUCAUAAUUGCAAAACCUCUUUAUCAAAUUCAGAUAUCACAUUAUUGGAACCUAAUAAUACUUCAUCAAUGAUCAUUAACUUCAAUGAUAGCUACAAAACCAAAGAACAAUACCCUUCAUUUUCAUCAUCACUUCCUGCAUCCACAAAACAGGAGCCCGUAGAAGUAAUGAUUCCCUAUGAUCAUAUUGUUGAAAACCAAUUAAUCUCAUCAGAUUAUUACCCUCUCUCAUGUGAUUAUGAACUUGAAUUUGACUAUUUCAGGCAUGCUACUAUGCUAUCAUCAACUCAAUCUGUUGAAUUUGAUUCCAAAGCAUGUUUUGGUCUAUAAAUUUUAUUUAUUAGCUACAGAGAGGAGGCAAACUAGGCAUGCACUGGUAUCUUCUUGUUGGAACAAAUAUUCUUGAUUGUAUGGAUUAAUUUAGUUAUCUAAAUUAUAUAAGUUGUCAUGAUUUAAGGAAUAUUUCGAUUGUUAGAAAGAGAAUAUAAGCAAUUUAAAUUAUCUCUCAAUCACAUUGAUUCUGUUUUGUUCUGUCAUGUUCUGUAUAGUACUUAUCUUUUGCAAAUCAAAUCAACAGUAUAUAUGUAUACUUUCUUAAAACGAAAUUAUGGAUGGUAGUUGAAUGCAUGUUACUUUUUUACCAUGUUGUUUUGACAGCAAGCUAAGUCUUGGAGUGUUUUGAAGGGGGAAGUGGUUUGGAUGACAUUUGAUUGUUGAGUUGGUAUUGGGUUUGGUGAAUUUAAUUACUGUUGUAUUAUUGGCGGAUUUGGUGAAAUCUUCGUGCGUCUCCGUGAUUUUACAAAAACUAAAAUAAAUAUAAGGGACUAAAUAUGUGGUUAAGCUUUAUAUAAACGUGUAUAGAGAUAUUCAUUCUUAUUGUUCUGUAUUGAGCCUUCACCCAACUCGUCGUCAAGUUCAACGCACUUAGGCAUCGAACUAGGCUCAACUGCACGCUGACAUAGAGUCACGCGUAUCUGCCCAACGGCCACAGAAGUCUACACUUCUAAAACGGCCAACAUUGGAAUGAUUUUUAUUCACGGUCAACCAUCGUUCUUUAACCAUUAUUCCAUCAGCUAUCAACGUCAAGCCGUCGAAUCUGUUCUCACAUUAAUGGUUUAUACAAAAUAGAGAAAGGAACAAUGGAGGCUAGGAUUUCAUAAUAUUGCAAUAACAUUACAUUAUAUAAAAUAGAAUUAAAAGAUAUUAUAUAUCAAAACCUAGUGGACUAUAAACCUAAUGAACCUAAUAGCAUUGACUCAAUAUGUUAUUAUCUAACACCUCCUCUCAAACUCAUAAUGCAUCAACAAUAAGCAUUAUGAGUUUGUCAAACAAAAUGAAAAAAUACUUCAUAAUAUAAACUCAAAACAUCUUAAUACUACCCCUCAAGUUAAAACCUACUUAGCUUUAAGCUAGUUACAAAAUUAACCCAAAAAAUUAAACUAAAUAAACUAAUAUCAUAACCAAGAGCCACAAAUAGCACCAAAAGAGGAACCUUGAGAGAGAGGAGAAUCAAAUCAAACCAAUCUAGCAUCCAAUUCAGUUUAUUAAAGAGUGUGUUUAUUAAAGAGUGUGUUGUUAGCACUCCUAUUACCUCAAAUAUAUCACAUAGACAACUCUAACAUAUUUUAGUACAAUCGUGAUCUUAGUAUGUGGGGAAUCGAAGAUUUUUCUGUAUUAUAGAAAGAAGAAGAUAAUUAAGAUAAUUCUCCUCAUAUGCUUCUGAUAAUGGUGGUUGAGUGAAGUGGGUCCGUUGAAAAUCAUGUUAACAACUCAACGUGCUUUUCAGCUUAUUUAAAAAAACAAAACGUGCUUUUCAGCUUAUUUAAACACGACGCUAAUUAGCGAUGAUGAUUACUUCCAUCAUCUCCAUACUAUUCACUUCUCCAAAAUGUCAAACGUCGUCGUUUUAUUUCUCUUCCUUAUCUCAAUCUUCCUCCAAUCCUCUCACUCAGAAAUUCUUCUACCGAGUCAACUCAACCGUGACUCGCUCAUCUCAUCGCCGACGAGUUGUCCUGCGCCGGAUCCUACCCUCUACUACCAACCGGUUAUCGGAAUUCUCAGUCACCCCGGCGACGGUGCUUCCGGUCGUCUCAGUAAUGCUACCGGUGCUAACUACAUCGCUGCUUCAUAUGUUAAAUUUGUUGAAGCUGCUGGUGCUAGAGUUGUUCCACUCCUCUUUACUGAGUCAACAGAGAUUCUUCUCAAGGUAUAAAAAAGUUUGAAUUAAUCAUCAAUUUUGUGUAUAUUUGAUUCUAUUUUUGGAAUUGAUUCUAACUUUAUGCUAACUUUACAUUAAAUUCACUUUUAGUUAAAGUUAAUUGUUUCAAAAUUAAGUUUUUGUCAAUGUAGAAUCAACAAAGACUUGGUACCUAAAAAUUAAAAUAUAACUAUCUCCAAUUUACUUGCCAAAUUAUAUGCAUAUAUUGACCAAAUGAUUUGCCUCAAGUGGUUAAUGACUUUAAUUAAAGACGAAUUAUUCGGGAGAACUCGAAUUUAAAUCCUGACUUGACAAUCCUUAGACAGACUUUACUUAUUUCUAGUCAAACUCUAUAUUACCAUGGGACCAUCUUCUGAAACUCAAGAGUUGAAAAAAAAAUCCAGUAUUUUGUAUUAAUUGGUUAAAUAAGACUUGGACUCUAAUCAUUAAAUAAAUUUAGAAAGAUUUAAGGAAAUGGAUUCUGUGCAGUUGAAUUUUCAGUGCAGUCACUUUAUAGUAUCGGACGGUUUAAACAAAUGCAGUCAAUUAAUACCAAUUUUAAAGCAUGAUCGGACGGCUAUAAAUAGCGUGACUGCACGACUGCACCAACAACCCGACUGCACGGAAUCCGGAUCCAAGAUUUAAUGAUCAUUUCUCUUUUAUUGUUAAUUAGCAACACCAAUCGAUAGACCCAAAAUGAUAAUAGGAAGAUAUUAUGAGGAUAAAAUUUUAAAAAGAAAGGUGUAUCUUCAAUUAACAUUACUUAUACAAGCUCUGUUAACCUUACUGUUAUUUAUUUUUUAUAUUAGAAAUGUUUGUGAUGAUAUUGAGUACAAUUUCGCAAUCGCUGCAGAAACUCGAGUUGGUAAAUGGGGUUCUUUUCACUGGUGGAUGGGCUAAAGAUGGUUUAUAUUUUGAAACUGUUAAAACAAUAUUUAAGGUAUAUCAGUUUAUUAUUGUUGUUAUCAUUAUUAUUAUUACUUACUAAUACUCCCAUUGUCAUAUACAUGCAUUUGUUAGAAGCCUCGGUACAGCUCAGUGCAAAGAUUCUCUUUGCGCCUUUGAGGCUUCUAGAAUAUGAAUAGAUGGUGGAAGAGUUGUUGUUGAUGACUUGUAUUACUUGUAAUUUUGUUAGAUGAGUUUGUUUCCAAGAUGUCAAGGAAUGCUUUGUUGAUGUAUUGAUUUAUGCAUUUUUUAACUUCACAUAAGUUGUAUUUGUUGGUGCAGAAAGCUUUAGAGAAGAAUGACGCUGGAAACUAUUUCCCAUUAUAUGGCGUCUGCUUAGGCUUCGAACUCAUAACAAUGAUCGUUAGUGAGGUGAGUUGGUGUUCUUAUGGUUAUUUUAUGCAUAUGUUGAACACCUUGAACAAUAUUCAUGAUCUGGAAUGUUGCAAAAGGUUGAAGAUUUCUGACAAGUUACAGCACAUUCUCGUCCUUUUUUUGUAUGUUUACAAGUUUGGCUGUUCUUUUUCUUGAUGAUAGGACAAUAAUAUUCUUGAAGAAUUUGGAGCAAGAAAUCAGGCAAGUAGCCUUCAAUUUGUGGAGAAUGCAUAUAUAGAAGGAUCUGUAUUUCAAAGGUAAACCCAUCUAUGAAAAUUGUAUUUUCCAGAAGUUGCACUUGGAUCCCUCAAUGGACAUACAAUGAGGUUACUGAAAUUGUUGUCUCCCUUCAACAGAUAUAUAUAUAUAUAUAUAUAUAUAUAUAUAUAUAUAUAUAUAUAUAUAUAUAUAUAUAUAUAUAUAUAUAUAUAUAUAUAUAUAUAUAUAUAUAUAUAGG